rnacentral:lncRNA from 1 species
AGUAAAGAGAUACUACCCGAGGAUCAAGAAUCGGAGUACUUAGAAUUCGACUCCCAAAAUAGUGAGUAACCUUACUAUCAUCUUAAUUAUCUAAAGUGGUUUUUAUCCGAUUUUGUGAUUUUAUGGAAAAUGAGUUUAAAUGGUAAAUCUUUAUGUUUUAUAAACAAAAUGUAAUUUAAUGAAAUGAUUUUAUAAAUUGUCUUGAAAUUGAAUGAUGGUUUGAAAAUACAGUAAUUGGAGACUGUUUUUGUGUGUUGUAAAUUCAUGAUUCUAAUUGAUUGGCUUAUGGCAAUAUUGGCAUGAAUGGUUGAUUUGAUAAAUGUGUUGGAAAUGUAUAAAUUGUUGAUUUACCUUGAAAGGCUGUAAAAUAAAAUAAAAUAAUUGCCAUGUCAUGCUAUUGCAAAUUUUAUUGUAUGGUGGGUUUAGCUUACUGCAGUGGGUGGAUUCUAUAGACCAGCCUAUUAGAGGGGCACAGAAUUCGGUUAUACUUUACCUCGGUUGGAGAGGCGAGUAGGGUAACUCCCGAGGUAUAACUUUAGAGUUUCCUUUCACGCAAAACCACCACGUGAGGGUGAACUCAGCCAACACCAAAGAACGACUAUGUUUUUAAAAUAAAAACAUGAUUUAUGCGUACAUAACUUUUUAACAGCCUUGGUGGACUCGGAUGGGAUAGCCUUCGAUCAAGAUAUCCCUAAUAACUAGGUACGAGAAUGAUUUUGGCACGAGCCAAAGUUUUAAGAAAUUCAUAAGCCAUGUUGAUUACUCGAUUUAGAUGAAUUGAUUUUAUUUGGUUGAAACUUGUUGAAAGGUGAUGAAUUACAAUAUGUUAAACUAUUUUAUCUGUCUCCAUUUAUUCGGCUUUAGAUAUUUUAGAUGGUAUUUGUUUACUCACUGGAAUUAUAUAAUCUCACCACCCUCAUUUCCACCCAUUUCAGGCUCAGAAUAGGCUGUAGAUAGUUGAUUUCAUCAAGACUACCAUUGGAUUUGGAUCCUCCAAACUGUAGGUUCACAGUCUUCCCUACUUUUAGUUAUUCGGGGGUCCAUUGGUUAUUGUAAAUUAAAUUAAAUACUCUGGCUUACUGUAAUACAGUAUAUAUGAAUUUAUUUUGCUUUUACGUUGCUACAAAAAAAUUAUUUACGUAUAACUCUAAAAGUAUUAUUUUAUAAGAAAAUAGAAUAUUUUAUUGAAUUUUUCUUUUAUUUUUUUAUUAUAUCCAAAUAAUCAUAAUUUCAUUUUAAAUGAAGGUUCUAGAUGUUUAAACUUAUUUUUAUUAUGAAUUAUGUGUUUGUACUCUCAUACUACAUUUUUGACGGAUUACGAGAUUUUUGAGGAAAAAUGACCAAAAUGCCAUUGUGAGAAAAAAAUUGUUUUUCUAUUGUUUUUAUUUGGAAAUAGUUUAUAAUCUCUCAAAACAUAAUUUUAGUGACUAAUACUCACAGGGGAAGCGAGAAAAACUGAUGUUAAGCCUUGCGAGGUUUCGAUUGACAUUUCGGGUAAUGAAUGUCUAUCGGGAUGUCGCGGUAGUUGCCAUGGGCUCGAUGAGAGUUCUAGGCUGUGACAGUAAAAAAUUUAAAGUCAAUGGACAAAGAUUAAAGUGUUAUUGGGGAGGCGAAAUUAAUCAUCAAAAGUCCUCAAUUCGCUUGCUUGAUACAGCCUACAAUCUAAGUCAGUUUAGCCAAAAACUAUAAAUGAAGUGCUUCUUGGGAGGCAACCCAAGUUUCUUAACCUUACUCGUUUUUAUUUUAUUUCAUUUUUUUACUUUAUUAUCAUUUUUUUUAUUAUUAUUUUAAUCUAUUUUUUUUGCAAGUCAUUGGUUUAAAAAAAAAAAAAGGGUCAGAGCCGCAGCCUUCAAAUUGAGAGCCGCGACCCUAAAAUGUGCUAAAAAUGUAGCUGAAACAGAAAGUUUCAGUGCCAAGGCGUUGGGUGAAGUAAGGGAAAUUUGCUGAAACAAAAUGUUUCAGCGCCGUGGCCCUCACCUUGAGCGCCGUGACACUGAACAAAGCUUAAAAUCAGCAAGAAGGUUGAGCGCCAUUACGCUCAAAUCCGAAUCGUGAUGUUUCGGGAUAGUAUAGUCAAGCGCCAUGACCCUCACAAGUGAGGGCCACGGUGCUGGGUCGGGGCCCAGCCCCAACCCUUUUUAAAACCCUUUUUACUUUCUUCUUCUAUCACUUUCUUUGUCUCUUGCUACCAAACACAAUCUCCCCUACUCUUCUUGUAAAACCCGACCCUAUAAACACAUGUCAUGACAUACAUGCACUAAGUAACAUUUUAUUACGCUAGGAAAGUCCCUAAGAAUAGACGAAACCUGGUAUUGUACCUAACGGUACACUUGAGUUGAUUUAACCUCGAACUAGUUUAAAUAGGAAUCGUAGGAUGAAAUUUAAUAUUUUACAGUCCAGGAAUUACUAAAAAUGAUUGUUCGGAGUUCGAUGGUUCAUUUGGGGAAAAAUUGAAAAUUUUGAUGUUUUAGGGCAAAAUCGUCAUUUUGCCACCUAAGAUAAUAAUUUGAUCAUGGAGUGAAAUUUUUGACCAAGAUUAACUAUUUGGAGUAUAAUUUAAUGAUAGGAAGUGAAAAAGUUUAAUUUCGGUGAUUUCUGAAGUGUACGGGAAAAAUCGUAAUUUUACCACCCGCGAACAAAAUUUGAGAUUUUGAGAGAAUUCAGAUCAAAUUUGACAAAUUGGAGAAUUGUAUGAGUAUAAGGGAUGAAAAAUAUGUCUAUGGGUAAUUUUUCAGUUUUUGGGGUAAAAAUGUAAUUUUUGACUUUUACGGGGGUAAAAGUGUAAAUUUCAAAAAUUACUCCACCAAGACUUUGGAUAAGUCUGAGAAUUUUAUCUAAGCUAUGGAUAUGUGGGACAAGUGUAUGGUGAAAAUUUGGAAACAAAUGGAUGGCUAGAAUUUAAGGAAUUAAUAAAACAUUAAAAAAUGAAUAAAAUAAUAUUUAUUAUUUUAGCCUUUAAAAAGGUCAAAAUUCCAGAAUUCUCAUCUUCUUCAAGCCGUCCAAACUAGGAGAGAAAAGGGGGAAAAGAAAUAAGAACCCUAGCUGAAAAAUUUAGGAAAAAUCAAGAGAAAUCAAGAAAUCAAGAAAUCAAGCAUUAAAAAGGUAAAUUUCAUUCAUUUUCCUUGUGAUUUUCACUACCCAUGCAUUUUUUUCUCAUUUUCAUGCAAAAUCAUAAAGUGGGUACGGUCACCCAUGCUGGCCAAACCUCCAUUGAUGAGUUUUGAACUUGAGAUUUGGUUGAUUUUAAUUGAAUUAAGUGAUUUUAGUUAGGUUAUAUUGUAAUAUAGCAAAAAUAAGCUAGAGAAACAAUUUUCUCCCAUUGAAAUCCAUUAUGCCGAAUUUUCUAGGGGAAUAUUGGUUGCUGAUCUUGAUGUUUAUUUGAGGAAUUAUGAUGAAUAAUGAUGAAUUAUGAGCCUAGAGAAAUAAUGAGAAUUUUCAUAGCAAAAAUACAAAUUUUUACCCACUAGAGGUAUUUUCGUCAUUUGCUAUCGGGACUGAUAAUUUGCACCACACUGAGGGACAUUAAGUCAAUUUGGGUGCAAUUGAGGUACAGAAACUAAAAAAAAAAAUUAAUUUGGUGUUUAAACGGACGCGUAUAUCGAUUUAUCGGGUAAAAGAUCGAAAUAGGCUAACACUGCGUUUAGGCAAAAUUUAGACAUUUUGCACUUCAUAUCAUGCAUUAGUAGUAUAAAUUAGUUUAUUUUGGUUUAGUACCAAAGUAGUAAACCUCUUAAUUGUGCAAUUUGUCAAGGUGGCGAAUCCUCUGGUAAGGGUAAAGAAAUCGCACCCGAGGAGUAAUAGUUGGAGUACCUAAAUUUAGUUUUCAAAAACUGUGAGUAAACCUAUUAUUAUUGUAAAUUAUCUAGAGUUUAUUUUUAAAUGCUCUUUAUGUAUUUUAUGAAACAAAAAUGAGAUUAAAAUGAGACUUUUGAUGUUUUAGAAAUAAAUGUGACAAAUAAAUAUAUUGUGUUGAUUAUCUGAAAUAAUAAACUUUUGAUCAUGAAAUUGAGUAAUUGGAGGCUGCCAAUUGUCUUGAAAAAUAUAUUUUCCUAUGAAUGGCUUAUGAUAUAUGAGUAUGUGUGGCUAUAUUUUAUAAUUGCAUUGGGAAUUUAUGUAAGCUGCCUUUUACUAUGUAGGCUGGGUAAAUAAAUAAAAGCCAUGUUAUACUGUCGAAAUUUUAUUAAAAUUGGUGGGUUUAGUCACUGUAGUGAGGGGUUUUCGUGGAUUGCCUAUUAGAGGGGCACAGUAAACCAAGUUAUAUAGUUACUCCGGUUGUAGAGGCGAUGAGGGUAACUCUCGGGGUAAUGUUAGAGCUCACUUCACGUUGAACCCCCACGUGAAUGUGUAACUCGGCCAACGCCAAGGAACGACUUGUUUUCAAAACUAACAUGUGUUUAACAUGUAAAUAUCUUAACAACCUUGGCGGACUCGGUUAAAUGCCUCGGUCAAGGUAUCCUCGAGGCCUAGUUUUUGGCUUGAGUCCUAUUUAUAAUAAAAGUCAUGAUCCUUAACAACUUUUUGGUAAAUUACAAAUAUUUUAUGGUUUAAGAAAUAAAUUGAAAACCUUAUGAAAUGGUUUGUGAUUUCUUGUUUAAACUAGCCUCCAUUUUACUCACCUUUAGAUAUUUAUAAUAAUGUCUAUUUACUCAUUGGGAUUGCAAAAUCUUACCCACCUCCUUUCCAAAUAUUUCAGGCCUGUGGUAGCUUAUAGAUAGCCGAUUUUGUCGAGGAUUCCAGUUGACCCUUCUAUCUCACAAACAGUAGGUUACUAUCACCAACACUUGGUGUAUUUAUGGGCCACUUGUCAUUGUAAUUAUUAUUGUACAUUAUAACUUUGUAAAUUAUUGUAUGUAUGAAUUUAUUUUACUUACACGUGUUUCUAUAAAUAUUGUUUUAUAUAAAAAUGCUAUAUUUUAAUCAAUAUUUUGAAUAGUAAUAUUUGUCUAUAAAUCCUUUUAAAAUAAUUUUGUCUUUUGAUUUACUUGAGCCAGAAACGACUGGUAAUUGUUUAAAAAGGAAUGUUUAACAACGAUUGCUCACAGGAAAGGCAAGAAACUUAUACGUAAGCCUUGCGGGUUUCCGAUUGGCAUUCCUGGUAAUGAGUGUAAAUCGAGACGUCGCGGCGAUUGUCAUGGGCCCGAGGGAGGUUCCGGGUCGUGACACUUCUUCUGCAACUUUCUUGCUUAUCUCUUUUUCCUUUUUCAGUCUGCAAGUUUGCAUUCUGAUUUUUACUUUGAUUUUUUUCCCUGCACUUGUUGCACUCUUAAGGUAGCCAUUCCACCUUCUCUCCUGCAAAUAUUUCUUUUUCCAUUGUUUUUAUGUAGAGAGAAGAGGAGGUUGUAAAUCAUAUAAUUUUUGCUUCUUGAAUGAGUCUAUUGUGCAUGUUGGUUAAUGGGUUUCUCACACUUCUUCUUGAUUAACGCUUAAAUUGAAGACAAUUUUGACGUUUGCUGCCAUUUUUGUGAUACCCAUAUAUUAAAUUCAUAGAUUUUUGGUUGCUACAAAAUUAUUUGAUAAACGCUUGAUUAUUGAAAGUAUAUGAUGGGUUUUAUUUACAUUCUUAUGCUUGGUUGAGCUAGUAGAAUUAAAUUUUGGACUUGUGGUGCAACACAUGCCAUAUUUAUAAUGUUGGAUGAGUACAUUAUCAUAUAUAUAAUUUUUGGAUUUUUUUUGGAUUAUGGCAUUGUGAAAAUUAGGAUUAUGAGAAGGUUGUUAUAUUGUUGUGAGGCAUAGGGACUUUAUGUUGUAUCUUAAGAAGUAAGAUUGUCAAUGGAAAUCUUGAAUUUGAUUUGUUGCAUUGGACAGGCACUAAUUAAACUCAUGCUUAUAAGUCUUUCAUAUUUUCAUACUUGUUGACAUAAUACUACUUGCAUAUUUUUCCUCUGAAUUUAUUUUGAUAAUUAAAUUUCUUUUGUAGGAAUGGCACCAAAAUUAUCCAAACCAAGUUCCAGUGGAUCUUGUAAUAGAUCGAAGUUCAUAUCCAUCGAAGCUACUGCGCGAUAUCAUACAUCCUUGACCAACAAAGUGCCAAUUCUCGAAUGAGGAAUAGAAAUCCUCAUUCUACCUUACAAAGAAAUUAAUGACAUGAUUAGCGACAAAUAUUGGGAUCAAUUUUGUAACCAACCUGAUGUAGUAGUGGUUCUUGUAGUAUGAGAGUUUUAUGCGAAUGUGGUUGAGCAUGUUGAUGGUGUGGCGUUUGUUCAUGGUAAACGUGUUCCUUUUCAUAGCCGAGCUAUCAACGAAUUUUUUGGAACUCCAAACAUUGAAAAUGAUGAAUAUGGGCAGUACUUGGGUGAUCAUCAGGAUUCCAAUGAGAUUAUAUCGAUGUUGUGCAUUGAAGGAGCCUAAUGGAAGACAUCACAUGGUGAGCCAGUUUCAUUCAAACGGAGUGCCAUGAAAAAGGUGUUGAAAGUUUUGUUACAUUUUGUAAUGGCAUGGUUACUCCCUUCCACUCAUAUCAGUGAUGUCACGAGGGAUCGUGCAGUGCUUAUUUAUGCCAUUGUCACACAUAAAUCUAUUAAUGUUGGUAAAGUUAUCUCUCAUGCCAUCCUACAUAUGGGUCGCACUAAACGAGAUAGUAUUCGUUUUCCUUCCCUCAUCACUACCUUAUGUGCGCGAGCUGGUGUGCAAUGGAGUGAUAAAGAAGAGCUUCAACAACCAAAACUUCCUAUCACCAUGGGCAUUCUUAAGAGAUUAGAGGAAUCUACACCGGUUGCUGGUAGUUAUUCCCACGCAGCUCUCGCACCUCCACAUACAGUGCCCACACGUAGUGUUACUCAAUGGAUGGAGUGCAUUGAUCAUCGUUUAGAUCAUCAAGAAAUGUAGAAUCGGGCAAUUGAAUAGAUGAUGCGAGCCUAUGCUACACACAUUAGGAUGGAUAUGUCUACUUUUCCUUCGUUACCCAUGGAUUCUGACUCUGAAGAUGAUUUUGGUGGUGAUGAUGCGGAGGACUUGUAGACUACUGAUUCGGUGUGAGAGGAGUAUUCUUGUCCCUUGUCUUUUAUUUUCAUUUAUCACGUUGAGGGCAAUGUUCAUUUCAAGUUUGGGGGAGUAGUUUAGAAUUUUGUUAGCUUAUUUUUAGUAUUUUGCUUGUUUUUAUUUAUAUUUGCAUGUUUUGUUGUGUUUUCGAAAAAAAAAAAUUGAGAUAGUUGUAUCUCAUUCAUGAUUGUCCCAAUCCUAGGAUGAUAUUUUAAUUAUUUUUUGAUUCUUAGCUGUUGGGAAGCAUAUAGUUAUGAUUUAAAAUUUGUGAUAUUCUUGUGUUAGCCUUAUUUUAGAAUGUGACUUCCAAUAAUUUGAGCAUUAUACUCUUUGACUUAGAAUUUUUGUGUGAUUUAGAGAAAGUUUAUGUUGGAUAAAAAGUAUAGUGAAGUCAAGAAUUCUAGAAUUUGUUUGAUUCUCUGUCGAGGCAAAAUCUUAGAUAACACUUAGGAUAGGAAGUGAUUUAGGCCAUCUUUGGAUCGUUUGAGCCUUUUUGAGCCCACCUUGUUAUAUUUAUCCUUAGUCACCCUUUUUGAGCCUAAUUUACCUUUUCUUUCUAAUUACACAAUUAUAUUAGCCUUGGCCUGUUUAUUUAAUCCAACAAUUUGAACCUUUCACCCUUUAAGUAUGUUAAUCUUUCUAAAGAAAGAUAAAUUGGGGGAGAAAGUUGAAAAAAAAAUGAUGGCUAUUGGUAAAAAUUACCCCUAGUUUAGAAUUGUAAAAAAAAAAACUUUGAGGGUUGAAAAGAAAAAGUGAAAUAAAAUGUGUGGUAUAACGAAAAAUUUACUUCAAGUUUAAGGAUGCUAUAAAAAAUUUUUGAGCUCUUUAUAUGAUUUAGAUUGAUUAAGUGCUUAGGGUGAAUUUGAGCUUAAAUAUAUCCUUUAUCAUACCUUAACCCUAGCCUUACAUUACAAGAUUAAUAAAGACCUAUUGAUCCUUGAAUAAGUGUUUAUCUACAUUAGUGAAGAGAGAGAUGAAAAGGAAACUUAUGGGAUCUUAGUACUAAUCUAUGCUUAGAUUUAGCAUAAAUUAAUUUGAAUUGCAUGAUAUUCUUUGCAAGAGAGCAUUCACACACACACAGAAGUCCAUUCGAAAAUAAGUUUUCAGUUGAAUUGAUGCAUGAAUUUAAGUAUUAGUUGUAUGUUACCUUAAGUUGAAAUUGGAGUUAGUUUCUGAGGAAAAAUUGAGAAAUCAUGAUUUGGUAUUUCUAUCUCUUGUUUAUGGAUUUUUUUUUUUAUGAUUCAGUUUUUUUUUUGUGAUUUUCUUUUGCUCGAGGACUAGCAAAAUCUUAAGUUUAGGGGUGUGAUAAUUCUAUUUUAUAGAAUUAUUUUAUUCUAAUUUUGUUAUUAAAUAUUAGCUAAGUCCUCAAUUUUUAAUUAUAAUUUACUUAUUCUUAGUUGUUUUUAUAAUUAGGUUACUUUUAAGUUAGUUAUUUUAAUUUUAUGUUAUUCCUUUUAAUUUGGUUAUUAUUUAUUAUUUUUUAUAUUUUUUUGUAGGAUUAAAAGUGAUUAGGCUUAAUUUUGGAAAGUAAGGUGUAGACAGACCCAGAAUCUGCUUGCAUAUGUUUCAGUAUUUUGGCCAUAUCUCGAGCUACAGAAUUUUAAAUGAUACAAUUCUUAGACUAGUGGAAAUUUAAGAGACAGAGUUACAACUUUUAUGCAGAUCACUUCCCCCAGUUCUACCUCGAAGAUAGAGAAAAUCGUGUUGGAAUAUCAUUGGACGUACUGUACCGAGAAUGGAAAUUUGUAAAGACUGAUAAUUGAUUUUUGGGCCUCUUAUUACACCUUUAAGCCCAAUUAAACCCUAGAUCAGCUUAAGGAACUUUAGGUUAAGUUUAUUAAUACAAAUAGGAUAUGUUUAAGAACAUUAAGUAGACAACUUUUGAAAGAUUCAAGAAAUUAGAAGUUGAGGUUGAAACUUGGAGAUCAAGACGACAAUUAUUGUUUUGUUUUCUUCCUUAGCUUUUAAUUUUCUUGUUACUUUCAAUGGUUGAAUUUUAUACAAUGUUAUUUUAUUUUGCAAUUAUGAGUGGCUAAACUUGUUUCUCUAGGAUUCCAAUUGAACUCACAUGUAGUCUAAAUUUUUAUUCUCUUUCUUGCUUAUUUUUAAUGGGAUUUGAAUUGUUUAUUCCAAUUUAUUCUUAAUGCUUUUAAUUGCCUGAUUACCAAUCAAAUUGAUUUAGGAACCUAAACAAAUUUGGGAAAGGGAGUUUAAAGUAGACUAAAAUUAGGAUAGCAUAUGAUCAAAUUAAUUGAUUUGCGUAUAGGAUAGGGAUAUACCUAUAAGCCGUGUGUAGCCAGAUUAGAGCCUGAACUUAAUGAGUAUGUUUUAAUUUCAAAUCACAUAGGGAUAUAGUGUUUUGGUUAAAAUAGAUAUUUUUAUAAGAUGAGUCGGGAAACCUCUAUAAAUAAUUUAGGACUCUAGGUUAGCAAUUCACCCCAUUGAAAUAAGUUAAGGAAGAGAGGUAAGAUUUAGGUGAAGUGUGAGGGAUAUUGUAAUCCUAGGCUUGGUUAGUUUGAUAUUUUCUUCAGUUAUUAUUAUUUUGAUUUUUCUUGUUGGUUUUAAUAUUAGUUAAUUAGUUUUAGUUAAUUACUUAAUUUUGAUUAUUUGGAUAAGAUUAAAUUGUUCUAAUUUUAGUAAUUGGUAAAGUUUUAGAUCAAUUCCCUGUGGGAUCGAUACCUUGCUUGCUAAUAUACUAUUUAUUUGAUACGUAUACUUCCAUAGUAGGAUUUUAACUGACAAGUAUUGGAAUAUGGGUUGUUCUGCUAUCUGUUAAAGUUCCCCACAAACUAGACUGAUUCAGAAUUGUAUGGACAUUGAUCAUUUGAAUGGCCAUCCCCACACAUCUCACAAAUUGAAUUUUGAACUACAUGAACUCUCAGUGUGUCAAUCUUCUUGGACAGUGUAGCCACUUACACAGCUAAGUUGUUCAUUGCAUCAAUUUCAUAGGCUUUACCAGCUUUUCUCGAACCGGACCUUUCUAAAGGCCAUUGAUAAUUAUUUGAAGACAUCUCUUCCAACAAAUUAUAAGCAUUUGCCACAUUCUUACUCAUCAAUGCCCCACUAACAGCAGCAUCAAUUGUGGUUUUAAUUGACCCAAUCAACCCAUUGUAGAAUGUCUGAACUUGCAGCCAAUCAGGAAGCCCAUGAUGUGGGCAUCUUCGCAGUAGUUCUUUAAACCUCUCCCAAGCUUCAUACAAGGACUCCCCAUCAAAUUGUGUGAAGGAGGUGAUAUCGUUCCUCAACUUUGCAGUCUUUGCAAGUGGAAAGAACUUUGUGAGAAAAUUUUGAGCCAAUUCCUUCCAUGAAGUGAUAGACCCAUUAGGCAUUGAAUUAAGCCAGCUUUUUACUUUAUCCCUCAGAGAGAAUGGAAACAGUCUCAAUCUAAUAGCAUCAUCAGUUACUCCAUUGUAUUUAAAAGUAUCGUAAAUCUCUACGAAAUUUACUAAAUGAGCAUUAGGAUCAUCACUGGGUAACCCACCAAACUGGACUGAAGACUAAAUCAUCUGAAUAUAAGCUUGUUUAAUUUCAAAAUUAUUCGCAUUGAUGGAAGGUCUCCUAAUGCUUUGGUGCAAACCUUGCAACAAAGUAACUGCAUAAUCUCGCAAUGCUCUAUUUGCUUCAGGAACCACAUUAAUGGCAUUAUUACCAUUAUUAAUGUUAUCCUCAGCCAUUGUUUGAGGAUUAAUGCUAAGGUUUUUGUGAUUUCUUUCAACAUCUAAGCUCAUUUAAGGUAAAUUUAGAGGAUUUAUGCAUUUCUAGCUUAGUUUAGAGAAAGAAAGUAGCUAUAGUCAAAAGCGAAUAGAUUUCAAAAGUUGCUUGAUUAAUUGGUCUAAGAUAAUUAGUCUAGAAAUUGAUUGUUAUGAAUGUUGUAUGAUAGGAACCCUUGAAAACACACUAGAUUACACAGAAUUGGGGUUGUAAUCUAGCUUCCUAUAAGAUAAGUGGUUUCACCAAUUUCAAAACUAUUUUGAUAAGUAAAGUUGAAGCAUGAUUUGAGGAUUAUUGGUGAAUGUAAUUUUCUACAAAUAUUUAUGAAUUGAAAAUUUAUUUGUGGAUGAGGAAAGUAUUUUAAAAUUCGUUUUCAACCUAUUGUGUACGUAAAUAUGAUAUUUUGUAUUACUUUUCAACAAGGGGAGACAAGCAUCUUAUGUUUGAGUCCACUUGAUUAAUCCGAUCUUCAAACUAGUGUGGGUAUGAGAUAUGAUUUAUGAUUAAUGCAUGAAUGUAUGAGGUGUAUACUAGAUAUUCUGAGGCAUGAAAUGUGUGAUGGCUUGUAUCCUGAUUUUCAUCUAAAGAUAUUAUGUUUAUGAAUAUGAUGUGUUUUCCAUAUAGUACAUGAGAUGUUUGAGGAAGCAUGAUAAAUGUUAUGAGAUAAUGUAUGUAACACUUGUUUUACAUAUGAUAUGAUGAAAGAGUAGGCAUGAGGAAAUGCCAUAAGAUGUGUAUAUGAUCUGAAAUUUGAUGGAAUUGGAUCUAAGUGGAUUGAUGUGAUUGUGUAUGUAACACCCCGUAACCUCGUAUAAGAGCCAAUAAAACCUUAUUGAUAAGACGAAGGGUCAAUUGACGUAAAUCUAAGUGCCAAAGAGCGGUGAUCAGUGAAAGGAAUAUUUUAGAACAAAAUAUUCCACACACGAGAAAGUAAUAAUUAAAUAAUAAUAUUUUUUAUUGAGGAUGAAUUUGCGAGAAGGCAAUUUGGAAGUGAAUUGGAGCCAAGUAAGACACUUUGAGACCCGAGGAGACAAAUGGAGAAAUUUAUAAUAAAAUAAUAUUUUAUUAAUAAAAUAAUAUUAAAAUAUUAAUAUUUUAUUUGUUGUCGAAAUUAGCAAUGAAGGAGGAUUAUAUCACUAAUCUAAGUGGGGGAGAAGAAAUAAGAAAGAAUUUCGAAGAAAAAUGACAUAAGUGGGGCUUGCGUGCCUUUAGUUAGUAAAGCAAGAGUGGGUAAGUAUAUAUUUAAAUAUUAUGGUGACAUUUUGGUGUAGUGCAAAUUUUAUAUUUUAUUUGUACAAGUAUAAAGGAAGAAAGAUAGAAGGAAAUUGGAAUUUAAAAGAAAUGAUUGAAGGACCAAAUUGUAAAGGAUGAAAAGCAUGGAAGGUCGAAUGGUAAAUAAGGAAACGUUGAGGACUUAUGUGCAAUUACAAUAUUUGAAGAUAAAUUGAAAUUAACUAACUAAGGAAAGUUAGAUUAUGUAGGAUAAUGAGAUGUGCAUGUAAAUUCACUAUUACAUGCAAAUAAUAGCAUAUAAAAAGAAGAAAGUUAGUGGGGAACAUGUGGGACCCCCACCAUGUGAAGUAAAAGGAAAGAUAGGCCUAAAUCUAUUUGCAUGUAAAGAGAUUGGUGCAUUAGGUGGCCAAAUAAGAAAAGAAAGAUGUGAGAUGCACGUGACUUAAAUAGAUUAAUGAAUGACUAAAUAAAAUAUAAAAUAAAGGUGGUGCAUGAAAUAAAUAAUGAAAAAAGAAAAAAAUGAAAGAGUGAAAGUGGCGGAUGGAGAAGUUUAGUGAGGAUAGAUAAUGGGCCAAUGAACAAAGAAGGAAAUUGGUGCAUGAAGAACCGUUGGUUGGUAAAAUGGCCAAAUGAAAACAAAAAGAGAAUGUGUGCAUGUAUUGUGAUUGGUUAAAUGGGUGGCCGUAUAUGUGAAACCUCGACCUUCACAAACGUGUAACUAGAGGUAGAACUUAUGCUUAAAGGUUUAAUUUGAGCUAAUGAUGCUAGUUUUAUGUUACUUAUAAUUAUUUUAUGUCGUUAUAGGAGUAGGAUUAAAAAGUGAUUUCAAUUGGUGAAGAAAGGUGCAUAAUGGGUUAUUGCUCUAUUUACAUAUAUUUUGGUUUUUCAAGCAUAUCUCCCACUACAGAAGUCCAAAUAACAUGAAGUUUAGACCAUUAGAAAGAUAAGAGGCAGGGCUACACCUUUUAUGUUUACUAAUUUGCCCAAUUUUAAUGGGAAGGUGGUCAAAAUUUUUAUCGAAGUGAAAGUACUGUGCCAAAAGAACAGAUUUGGAUAGAACAUUUGAGCGCCGCAAAGCUGAAAAUUGAGAGCCACAGCCCUCACCAUAAUUUCAAAAAAUAACAAGCUUAAGGGAUUUUUGAAGCUAGGGCUUUUGAGGGCGACUUAAGAGACCUCUUUUAGAGGAUUUUGGACCUUUUCCCAACGUCAAAAGAGUAAAAAGAUUGCACAAGAAAAGGAGGAAAACAAAUGGCCUUGUUAAGGGCAUUAUUGUAAUUGCAUGAAAAGUUAAAUAUGCUUCAACUAUAAAUAUCUACUCUCCAGCAGCCUUUUUCAUUUUUUUUCCAAUAGCUUCUUAUUCCCAUCUUUCUCUUCAUCUCACGUUUCUUCAUCCUCCAUGGGAGUUCUCUUCAAGCUUCCAUAACUCUCUCAAGUUAGUCUCAAAUUUCAUGAUUUUGUGCACCAUUUCACAAGCCCUUUGUGCUUUUUUACUCUUUCACCUUAAAAACCCUCCAAAGUCUUAAACUAAUACUUUCUCUCACUAGCUAGGUGUUUUAGAGAGAGAAAGAAAGACUUUCUAUAAUAGUUUGGAAAUUCUUGAAGAGGAAUCCAAUUACAAAUCUAGCAAGGUGAGUAUUGAAAUUGAGUUGAUAUUUUUAGUUGUUGAGAAUGGCUGGUGGUUAAAUCUGUGAGUGUUUUGUAGUUAAGGUGAUUUAUUCAUUUUAGUGUGAUUAGAAUAGUGAAAAUAGAUAGCCACUUAAUGGUAGUUCGAAACUGGUUAGGAAUAACUAGUAGAACAUGAUUUAGGAGAUAGCUUCUAGAACUAUAUUUAUGUGAAUUGAGUUAAUUGUGAUGCUAUUACGAUGAUAGGUUCCAACAAAGCUCCAUUGCCCCAUUUGGACCAUUAGAGGAAGUUGGAAUUUGGUAAAGAUUUAACAAAUACUAGUGAGUGAACUUGCACUAAAAGGUUUUGGGUAGAUGCACAUACGUUUGAAUGAAUCACUUGAAUUGUUUAAAUUGUCUUUUCUUCAAAUUGCAUACUAGAACAAGCCUUUAACGAAACGUUUUCCUUGCGUUGUGAAAUGUGAUUGUAAUGAAUUUACGAAAUUGCUUUAUAUGUUGAUAUAUAUAUAUGUAUAGUACAUUGGUAGAUAAUAUUGUGUAAUGAAUAUAACAGUGCAUGUGCACGAUAUGGGGGAUGCAAAUGCCGGUAAUGACAAGGUGUGGGAGUUUGGAGGAUGACAUAGUUGUGAGCGAUGUGGGGGUUGCUCAUGACCUAGGUGAGGCGGCAGUGAUAUGCAUGUUGAAGUAUGUAUAUGUAUAUAUGUAUGUUAUACAAAGUUUAUUAAAAUAUUUGUGAAUGGGUUGUAUGUUGGCAUUAUUAAUUUCUACCAUAUUUUCCACUUCUUUAACAUCAUGGUUAAUCAUGAAUUUCCAAUGACAAAGGAUUAAUUUAUCUAGUUUGGAAUAAAAGGUUUUAAUGAGAAACUCUCGUGCAGUUGAGAUAAACCCUUGUACAACUGAGAGGAACCCUCGUACAGAUGAUGAUAUUUACCUAAAAUACGCUGCAAUGAGAAUGCCUUUCCGCUACAGUGAGAAUCUGUCUAUUAUGCUGCCUUGAUUGGAUAAUUACCAAAAAUUUUCUCUCUUUCCAAUUUCAUGUUGAACACGAUUCCUUCAUUAUUAAAUGAUUUAAUAACCAAAGGUUUAAUGGAGGGGUGUUAUUAAGAACUUGAACUAAAUUGCCUUGUUUUCAAAUAAGUGCAUCAUGAUUUUCAAACCUCUCUUAUCGUUGCUUGUUCCCUUCUUAUGUUCACUCACUGAGUUUGUAAUCACUAUUUUUAACUUUAUGUUUUUAGAUCAGAAAGCAGUCGGAACCUACGUAGAGGUGUUCAUGUAGAUUUGUCUCCUAGGUAGGUAUCUCGGCAUUCAGUAGCUGAACCUCCACCAAGGUUACUCUGCUGGAAGUCAAGAGUCAUUUUGUUUGUGAAUACGUUCAUGUGAUGUAAAGUAUUAAGAUAGGUGUCUUAGACAAGGUAUGUAUAUUGUGAUUGGUAAUGCCACCAUGAGUUGGCAAUGGUUAACAUUAUUUUGGGUUAAUGUGAAAUGCAGUUUUUGAUUGCUAUAGCACAUUAAUUAGGUACUUAUAGAUUGGAAGUAUGAAAGGUGACUUUAAGAAUAGUUGAUGGAAUGAUGAGCAGGAUUAUAUAAAUAGGCUUGCUUGGGCUUGGUGGGCUAUGCCCAUUGGGUCCAUGCACCUGUCAUGGCCUAGAAUUUGGGUCAUGACAAUAUAAAUACCAGGUUUAAGGGGUAAAGAAAUGUGAAUUGGCCUUGAGAAGUUGAGAGAGGGCCGACCACUUAGAGAAGGAAAGAAAGAAGAGAAAGCUUUGAGAAGUUCCACCCUCAAGGAAGAAAAGGAGAAAGAAAAAGAGAGAAAUUAGGGAAAGGCUCGGGUUGUGAGUAUUUAAGUGAAAUCGUGAGGUUUCCAUCCUUUAUCUUGUAAACUAUUCCAUCAACCAAAGAGUCUUCAACAUUCAAGAGGAAAGCCAUGGAGUGUUGAUGGAGGUGUAAAGCUUGAUUUCAAGAUACAAGAGAAAUAAGGUAAGGAUUGUGGUUUUAGUUUGAAUGUUUUCUGAAAAUGAGUUGGUGACUAUAAGGAAUGUUUUGUGGCAGCAAAGAUUGGCUUGAUUGGAAGAGAUUUACUGACAUGUAAGCCAUCAAACCCAUGGAUGCAUGAUAGAUUUAAGUGAAAGAAAAACGAUAAGCAUAAUAAUGUGUUUUAAGGCCUACGGAUGGUAAGAUUUUUUUUGAAGAACUAAUUUGUGAAUCAUGUUGGUAGCUUGGUGAUCGGAGUUUUGGAGGAAUGUAGGAGUGCAUGUGCGAAUCAAGCAACUUUUAAGGUAAAAAUGAAUAAUGCUUUAAGUAUAGUUAAGAGAUCUUGAGGAAAUGGCUUUUGUUGUGUUGAUUGGAAUCUUGAAAGGCAUAUUGUGAAGGAUAAUGGUUAUUGAAAGAAUCUAAAAUGCAUGAGCUAGUUGGAAAUGUUAAGUUUGCUUGUUAUGCUGUUUAAAAGAAAUAAGGAGGAAUAAUGUGAAUAGAGGAUUGAGAAAUAAAGCAUUGAAAGUUAGACAGACAAUUAUGCAUGUAAACUUGGAAAUAAUUGAGUUUGAUUUGGAAUGAUUGUUGUUGCCAUAUAUGUGGUUAAUAUUAUGAAAAUAUAAGAUGGAUUUGGAUGAAAGUUGCUUGGAAAGGUUUAAAUGGGCACUUAAUGUUAUAAAUAAGUUGCCGGUACAUAUAAUAUGAAGGAUUACGCAAGUAAAAGUUAUGAAUUUCUUUGGUAAAAAUAUGUCAAGAUGUAUGCGAAUAUGCAAAGGUUAAGUGAUAAAGAAUGAUGAUUCUAGCAUGAUGUAAGUUAUUAAAAUGAUGAUUAAUGUUUAAAUGAGAUAGAAAAUGGGAUGUGAUAUAAAAGCAUAAAACUAAGAAUGUGGUACAUAAGGCAGCAAAUAUGAAUGAAUUUGUGGUGACAUUCACUAAAUAUAUUGAGUUAACUUGCUGCUAGGAAGUGUACAAGUGAGGAAAGUUUGUUGUGGUGGCAUACCAGGGGUGGUGAUGGGCGACCGGUAAGUAACAUUAGCUAGAGACGCACCUGAACCGAUAGCGACGUAGUGUCCUGCUAUUAUAAGAUGAGUAUGGGGUGUCUAUUUCAAAAGGUCUAUAUUAUAUAUAUUGUUAUACAUUCAAUAAACGUUACUGGUUUUCUUUAAAUGCAAUUAUGGAUAGCAUGAGUUGUUAGCCUUAAUAGGUGAUUUUAAAAUGGAUUUACAAUGAUUUAUACAUUGCUAUUGUGGAAAGCAUGAGCUAGUAGAAACCAUAGGAAAUUGUGGAUGUAAGUUGAUUUAGAAAUUGGUUGUGUAUAAUAUAUUUAUACAUCUAUGUAAAGUGUUUUAGAAAUAAGGAAAUAAGCCUUUUCGCACUAUUUUGCAUCAAAAAUCAAUGCCUUGUAUCUUUGGGUGAUAUGAAUGGUUAAAUGUAUUUGUCAAAAUGGUUUAAAUGCAAACUUUUGAGAGUUGGUUUUAGUCUGAUCUUUAUACAAGUGUUUACACCAUGCCUUUUAAUGUGAAAAGCAAUUUGAAAGGAUAUCGAACCUUGUUUGCAAAUGAUUUAAAGCAAAAUCUCGAAAAACUUGAUUUGGUUUUGAAAAUGGUUUUGACAAAUCGAGAGUGUCGAGAGUAAGCUGAAUGUCACAUUGGGAUAGUGUGACCCUUGUUCACAAGUGAGCUCUAACUAAAGAACCUUUGGGUCGUCGACUAGCUCUUAGACGUGGCUGGGGCCAUAGUUUGUGAUAUAUAUGUGGCGAGGCCACGGGUUGAUAUAUGUGGCUAGGCCACAAGUUGAUAUACGUGGUUACGACCACCUGAUUUCUUCGAUGUCAGCCAACAUCAUCCAAACUGCCAUGGCUGUGGGAAUCUGAGGAGCGGGACUCUGGAAUUGUUAUUGCGUGGAAGUGGGUCCAUGAGUGUAGUACCCUGUAUUUUGAUACAGUGGCUAAUAAAGUUUACGGAUGCCAAUUGGGGUUGAUUACUGAGUUCAAAGGGUAAUUUAGAAGUGAACCCAUGAAAUCUCAACCUCUAUAGACAUGCAACUAGAAGUAGACGCAAUAAUGCGGACCAGGGGUAAUUUCAUAAUUUCUCUUGGUAAGUUCCUACGAGUGGGGUUUUUGAUGUUAUUAAGGUCUAAAUAGGCCUAAGGAAUGAAUAAAUGAUGUAUAAUGAUGAAAACACGAAGAAAACUAGAAGUGAUAAUAAUUUUCACAAUAGGGGCAAAAUAGUCAUUUUGCACCCCGAGUCAAAAUUUUUAAGUUUUCCCAGACUCGAGCAUGUUUAGACUAUUAUGGACCUUGUCUUGGUAUAAAAAGAGUAAAAUGGUUGCACCAAGGAUUAAAGGAGAACAAGUUAAUGUGCGAAGUGCAUUUUCGUAAUUUCAAGUGGAAUGGAUAAGCUUGAGCUAUAAAUAUCUUUUUCUUCUAGCAGCUUCUUCAUUCUUCAGCAGGUUCUUCUCCUUCUUCUUCUUCCAUCUCAUGUUGCUUCCAUCCUCCAUGGAAGCUUGCUUUGCAACUUCCAUAACUUUCUCUGUCUAGCUCCAAAUGUCAUGCCUUUGCCCACUCUUUCAUACGAUUUUUCAUGCUCUUCCACUUUUACACAUUAAAACCGUAAAAAAAAGUCUUUGUUCAGCACUUUCUCUCACUAGUUAAAAGUUUUAGAGAGAGAAAGAGGGAGCUUCCAUAGUAGCUUGACAAUUUUUGGAAAGAAUUUCAAUUAUAAAGCUACUAAGGUGAGUAGUGAACUAUAGUUGAUUUUUAGGUGUUGAGAAUGUCUAGUAAUUAGAAUUGUGAGAGUUUAUUUGUUGGGAUUAUUAUUCAUUUUAGUGUGACUAGAAAAUUGCAAACAAUAGCCAUUUAUUGGUGGUUGGAAACUAGUUAGGAAUGACUAGUAGAACCCAAUUUAGAAAAUAGUUUUGGAAUGGUAUUAAUGCCAAUUUGGGUUGGUUGUGAUGUUGUGUGUGUAUAGGUUCCAAGAAGGCCUCACAUGUUCGUUUAGAGCAUUAGUUGAGGUUAGAGUCAAGCAAAAGAAUCAACAAGACCGGUGAGUGAACUUGAAUUUCAAAAUAUUUUUGGGAAUGUGAAUGUGUUUGCAUAAGACUUUAAAUGAUUUUACCCAACGUUUCUUAAAAAUGGGUGCCUUGGGAACAAGCCCUUGAUAAAUUGUCUUUGUGUUGUUAUAUGUGGCAAUUAUGGACUCAUGCACUACCACAUUAUGUUGAUAUACAUAUAAAUAUAUAUAUAUAUAUAUGAAUAUAUGUUGUACAUGGAUAAAUAAUGUUGUAUGAUGAUAUUGACCCAGCUAUGUGUGAGUAGGAGUGCACAUAAGCCGAUGCUGACUUCGCUAUGUGCGAGUGGGAGUGCGCAUUAGCCGAUGCUGACCCAGCUAUGUGCGAGUAAGGAGUGCGCAUAAGCCGCUGCUGACCUAGCUAUGUUUGAGUAGGGAGUGCACAUGAGCUGAUGAUGAUGGGAGGGUGUGCAUGGAGCUAGAUAUAUACAUAUAUAUAUAUAUAUAUAUGUAAAUGUGUGUGUUAUAGAAAGCUCAUGAAUAUGGUAUACGAUUGUAAUGCAUGUGAAAUUUUGGCAUGUUGAACUUUGGAAAAUUUUAAGCAUUUCAUGUUGAAAUUGGCAUGACGGAUCUUGAGAAUGUCCCAUUUUCUUGUAAAUUGAGUUCAUUGCAACACCAAAUGGAUUUUUUUGUGCAAAGGAGGCCUUUUUUUCACUUAGGUGCCUUGCUUCUUGCUACAGCAAGAAACAUUCUGUUUUGGCAGCAGAAAACUCGCUGCAGCGAAAAUAAAUCUCCCUACAGCGAGAAACUCUCAGGUUUUGAUGCAGUGCCUUCAUUUUGAUGAAGAUUUUGACCACUUUCCCAUUUGAACUGGGAAAAGUGGCAAACAUCAAAGUUGUAUCCCUGCCUCUUCACUUUCUAAUGGUUGAAAAAUAAGGUCAAUUGGACUUUUGUAACGGAAGAUAUACUAGAAAAACUGAAACACAUGCAAACUGAUACUAUUUCUCGCUGCAGGGAGAAACAUUCUGUCCUGCGUGCUACCCUAUUCAAUUUUUGACAUAUUUUUCACCCAUUUAACUUCGUGGAUUGAUCAUGGGUUGUUGCAACACUAUGAGGUUAUUAAUCAAAGUUUGAAAUAAGGGGUUUUUAGUAAGAAAUUAAAUCAAUUGCAUUGUUUUAAAAACAAGUGCAUCAUGAUUUCCAAAUUUUUCCUAUUGAUUGCUUGUUCCCUUCUUAUGUUCACUCACUGAGUUUCGUACUCACAUUUUUAAAAUUCAUGUUUUUAGAUUUAAAGAUAGUUGGGACCUAUAUUGAGUCGCACACAUAUGUUCAUCUUCUUGGUAGGUACUAUGGCAUCUUAGUAGCUGUAUUUUCACCUAGAGUCACUCCACUGAUGGUCUCGAGUCUAUUACUUGUGAACAUGUAUAUGUAAUGUAAACUACUAAGAGUCAUGUUAUAAAUGAAGUAUGUAUAUGUUGGAUUGAUGAUGAUAGUACUUUGAUAUAUUAUAAAUAUGAAUAUUCAGUUGUUAUAAAAUAUUACUGAAACAUUUACUUUUGAGAGUUACAGCACUUCAUUUUAAAGAUGAUGGAUGGGAAUGAUAAUCGGAAUUGCAUAAAUAGGCUUGCUUGGGCUUAGUGGGCUAUACCCAUUAGGCCCAUGGGCCGAUCAUGGCUCGAUAAUUGGGCUGUGACAAUGAGUGAUUACUAUGUUUACCUACUCAAGAGCCUUGAGAGUUUUAGACUCAUACUCUUUUGCAUGGUGGAGAGUUAAUGUUUUCUUCAGCUUCCCUACUUGCUUGCAAGCUUUCAGCGCUUUAUAAGUUGAUUUUGAGUUGAUAUACGUGAAUGCACAUGGUUAUUUUUACAUGCCACACAUUUUGGGAGCGUGUGUGAUUUAUACGACUAUUUUGCUUUUAAACGAAAAGGAUAAUUUCGAGCAUUGAAAAUUAUUUUACUACGCAUUAUUUUCGGCAUUGAUUACCAAGGAAAGUAUUGCAUUAUGAUUUAUAGCAUUAUUUCUACAAGGCAAAAAUACUCUACUUGUGAUUUAAUUUAAUAAGAUUACGUUUUAUAUUCUAGUUUUAUUAUUCAAAUUAUCUACUUUAUGCUUGUUUCCCAUUUACGCCCUGCUCACAAAGCCGAUGAUCACUGAAUCUGUGAGAGUCACCCCCUUAUCUCACUUUUGCAGAUAGUGAUCGACCUAGCGUGCAUUCAUCGUCAUUAUAGUCCACUGCGGAUAGGUAAAGGCAUCUCAUAGUACUUUAUUCCGAGUCACUCCAAUGCUAGAGGUCGAGUCAUUCAUAGCAUAAAUUCAUUGUAAAUAGUGUUAAUGCAAAUGUACAAUUGGGUAUUGACUUUAAUGUAUUUUCACAAUUAUGUGAAAUCAAGGUUAAGUUGACUUAUUACGAUUAUUGUUCAAUACCAUAUUACAAUGAGUUAUACGUCAAAGAGAUUAUAUAAGUUGGUGGGUUCUCCCACAAGGCUCGGACGCCGGUAGCGAUCGAGGAGCUGUUGUUACAGUGUAAAGCAUGGAUUUCAAAAAGUUUCUUUUAUAAAGGAAACAUGUAAUCCCAUUACAGAAAUGGAAAACACAUCAUUCAUAUUGCAAGUAAUAUAAUCACAUCCUAAAAAUAAAAAUCUAAUGAAGUAAGAUAAAAUGUACUUUUUAUUUUGAGAUUCUUAUUUCAAACAUCACCACACCAACGAUUGAUUUCUAGACCAAACAAGUUUACCAUUUAUUCUUCAAGAAUACUUUCAACUUGAGCCUUGAGUGGACAAGGUGUGGAAUGCUCGACUACAAAAUGACAACCAAUUUUGUCUCUCUUUUCUUCCUAAAAAUUAAUAGUUAUUUUUCUUUCAAAAAAUUCAACCAAGAAUGGGAGAGAGGAAGAGAGAUAUGACAAAGUUAGAAGGACAAAGAGAGAAGUGACGAUUGAAACUUUUUCAAGAAAGGUACGUAUGUCUCUUUUCUUCUAAUGUCUUCUCUUUUUAUUAAAACUGUUGAAUCAAAGGUUUAAUCAAAAUCAAAUACCUUUCAAUCAAUCUUGAACAUCCAUUUAGAGUCAUGGAAGCAUCAAACAUGCUCCAUAAUUAUCAAAAUCAAAAUUAAAAAAUUAAUAAUUUAAUUCUUUAAUUGUCAUUUAGAGUCCUUGAUAAAAUAAAACUCCUUGUUGAAUAAUAACUCUUAUUUUAUUAUUAUCCAUCUUUAUAAAAAGAAUUAAUAAUAAAUAAAAAAGUGAUAGUCAAACAUGGAGUCUCUUUUUAUCAACAUAGAUGUCUAGAUUCAUUUUGCAAGAAUCCAACUAGCAUUAUCUUAAUUUAAGACAACUAAUGUCUUCAAUUAAGAUAAAACAUGUUAUCUUGUCUAAAUUGAGACAAAUAUGUUUGCUUGUCUACAUUAAGGCAAAACCUAUUUUGCUGGUCUUAAAUUAAGACAAACAUAUUUUCUUGUCUAAAUUAAGACAAAACAUGUUUUCUUGUCUAAUUAAGACAAAAAUGUUUUUCUUGUCUAAAUGAAGACAGCACAUGUUUUCUUGUCUAAAUUAAGACAACACAUGCUUUCUUGUGUAAAUUAAGACAAACAUGUUUUCUUAUCUAAAUGAAAAUAAAACUUGUUAAAGUUGCCACUUUUGUACACAAUUUAAUAGAUCAAAUAAAACAUGCAUUCCAACUUAAAAAAGUUGAAUUCUAUGAAGCUAAAUGGGGAAUCUAUUUGGGCAUAGAUAUUCCAACUUAGAAUUAUUCUUCAUCUCAUCAAGAUAAUACAAGCUUAUUAACCAUAAAAUCACUUCACCAUAGAUUCAAGGUUGCACUCUUGGAUUAACUAUAAUAGCAAGAAAUGAUUCAAUACUUGACAUUAAUUAUUAGUUGUCCAAUUUCAAACCUUAUAUUGUGAACCCUCAUAAUCAUCCAAUGAAAAAAGGUGAAAUUACUCUAGAUCCAAUCUUUUAAGUAUCCAGAUGUGAUGAGUAGCUAAUUCAUCAAUCCACUAGGCCUAGAUUAAUCACCAAUCUUCCUGAAAUCACUAAAACUGAUGUUAAUGCUAUAAACUCCAUUAUUUGGAUAUAUGUUCCAAGAUGUUCAUCUCGAUUAUAAUCCCAACACCGGAGUCUAGAUCAAUGCUUCAUGAUGAUCAUGCUCAUGGUAUAUCAAAGAUUAUAAGGAGAUUAAACACGAGUCCACUAUCCAUAGGAUUUUAGUUUUACUAUAAGCAAAUGCAUAAGUGUGAGAUCAAGAUUUAAGUAACGGUUUGUGAAACCUUGACCUCCAUAGAUGCGUAACUAGAGGUAGAUUGAUGAGUGCAUGCAAUUCACAAAUUUAAUGGGAGAUUAAAUACCUAAUUAGUCUAAGUUGGACUAGAUUUAGGAUCGAAUUUAGUAUUUUUAUUUAUUUUAUUAGUUUAGUUUAAUUUAUGUUUAAAUGCUUAUUUUAAGUUAAUGAUGUUAGUUUUACAUUAUUUAUAAUUAUUUUAUGUUUUUAUAGGUGUAGGAUCAGAAAUAAUUUCAAUUGGUGAAGAAAGGUGCAUAAUGGACUAUUACUCUAUUUGCAUAUGUUUCGGUUUUUAAAGUAUAUCUCCCACUACAGAAGUCAAAAUGACAUGAUUUUUAAACCAUUAGAAAGAUAAGAGGCAGGGCUACAACUUUAAUGUUUACCACUUUGCCCAGUUUUGAACAGAAUGUGGUUAAAAUCUUUGUCAAAUUUAAAGCACUUCACCAAAAGAAAAAAAAGGGUAUUUUUGUAAAUUAUGUGAAACUUUGAUUGACUUUAGAGAGAAAUAUCUAAAGUUCCAGCACCUUCUUCUUCUUCCACUCGUUUUUUCUCUCCUUUUUGUAGAACUUUUCAUCCUUCAUGGAAAGAAACCUUAAAACCUACAUAACCUUCUCAUACUAACUCUAAAAUCAUGUUUUUGCACACUUUUUCAUAGGGUUUUUUGUUCUCUUUCACUUUUUCACCUCAAAAACCCUCAAAAAAAGUUUUUCCUCUACACUUUUUCUCACUAGCUGAACAUUUUUAGACAGGGAAACUUUUCAAAUUAGCUUGAAAACUAUUCAAGGAGUUUUCCUCUUUUAAUCCUCACUAAGAAAAUUUCAACUAUAAGUCCACCAAGGUGAGAAAUGAGUUAGGGUUGAUUUUAAGUUGUUAAAGAUGACUAUUAAUUAGAUAUGUGGGUUGUUACAUUUUUUAUGCUUAUAUUGUGUGUGAUAGGUUCCAUCGAGGCCGCACAUGUCCAUUUGGAGCAUUAGUUGAAGUUAGAGUCGAUCAAAAGAAUCAACAAGGACAAGUGAGUGAACUUGCACUAAAUUUUUUUUGGAAAAUACAUGUGUUAAGAUGAAGCACUUAAAUGAUUAUAUUUGACUUUUUUUUCUCUAAAUCAUGCAUAGGAACAAGCCCUUGAUGAAACGUUUUAUGUUGUAAAAUGUGUAAUCUGAUGAACCCAUGUGUUCCUAUAUUUUGAUGAUAUAUAUGUUAUGCUUUGAAUGAUAAUAUUGUGUGAUAUUUGUAACUGCGCGUGUGCGAUGUGGGAGUGCACAUGCCGAUGAUGAUGGGUGAUUCCAGCUUUGUGCAUUGUGGGAGUGCACAUGAGUUGAUUACCGGUGGAUGAUGAUUCUAGCUAUAUGCGGUGUGGGAGUGCACAUGAGCUAAUGACCGGUGGAUGAUGAUUCCAGCUAUGUACAGUGUGGGUGUGGACAUGAGCUAAUGACCGAUGGAUGAUGAUUCCAGCUAUGUGUGGUGUGGCAGUGCGCAUGAGCUGAUGAGCUAGUGGUUGUAUACAUUUUUACACAUACCAUAGAAAUGUUAGAGAAAAUAUUAUGUGAUUGCAAUGAAUGUUGAAUGUUGAAAUUGUUAAUUGCUUCCAAAUUAAUUUUUAAUGCAACGAGAAACUCUUAGUCUUGCCUAUCUUGCUUGGAUAUUUGCUGUAGUUUUCACUUGUUUUAACUUUGUUGUUGAUCAUAGAUCCUUCACUCUAAUAGAUUAAAUAAUGAAAGGUUGAAUUAAGGGGCUUUACAAGAAAUUAAGCUAAAUUGCAUUGUUUGUAACAUAAGUGCAUCAUGUUUUCUUCAACUUUUUGUAUCAUUUGCUUGUUCCCUUCCUAUGUUCACUCACUGGGUUUGUACUUACUCUUUUAAACUUCAUGUUUUAAGAGUCGGAGGCAAUUGGGACCUAGAUUAAGGUAUCGAAGUAUAUUCAUCUUUUUGGUAGGUACCAUGGCAUUCAAUAGUUGUACCUUCACCCAAAGUCACUCUGCUGGUAGUCAAGAGUCUUUUGCUUGUGUAUGCGUACGCGUGAUGUAAAUCACUAAGAUUCAUAGUAUAAACAAUAAAUGUAUAUUUUGAUUAUUGGUGCCACUAUGAGUUAACAAUGGGUGAUAUUACUUUGAAUGAUCUAAAUGUAAGUAAUUGAUUGCCAUAGUAUAUCACUGAAUAUUUUUAUACUUGAGAAUUAUGAAAUGUGGUUUUAGGAAUGAUUGUUGAAAUGAUGAUCGGGAUUACAUAAAGAGGCUUGCUUGGGCUUAGUGGGCUAUGCCCAUUAGACCCAUGUGUCGGUGAUGGCCCGAAAAUUAGACUGUGACAAAGUUGGUAUCAGAGCCUUAGGUUGUCUAGGUCCUAGGAUUUUCAUUAUUGGUCCAGCGGAGUAUCGGAUCUUUACGUGCAAACUUCUGUUGUGAACUGUGAACCGCGUCACAUUUUACAACCAAGAAACCGUAUAGAUUCCCUAUUCUAGAAACCACCCUUCCCUUUAGGUAUAAUUGUAACUUGUGUUUAAUAACAAGUGUUUCCUAUUGUCUAGGUAAAAAUGCCACCUAAGACACGAUCCGCCUUAAGAAGGACGAGGGGGCAAGAUGCUCCUAACAAGACGACAGGUAAGCCACGGGCUCCCACUUUAGGGGGUGAGGUAGACAUGGCAAGACGACUAGGUUGGUGAAGGUGAAUACACCUGUGAGUAGACAUGAUGAGGAACAGUCUUUAAGUGAUGCAAAUAGACAUCCAAUUGGGGGCAUUACCAUCGAGGACUUGGUUCCAAGUCUGCAGGGAGUUAAUAAGGUUGUGGAGAUGAUGGCAACCUGUAUGGACCACAUAUAGAGAAUAGUAAAGGGGAGACAUGUAACAUAAGAAUCCCCUAGUUCAUAAGGAUAGGCUGAUCGCCAUCAUUUAGAGGUUGAGAAGGGUCAUGUAGAGGUUUCAGUUCCUGAUUUCCUGAAGCUUAAGCCUUUAUUGUUUACGGGGUCUGAUGCAUCGAAAAAACCCUAGGUUUUCUUAAACAGUAUGGAAAAAUUUGUGAUGCCAUGGGAUGUUCUAGUACUAGAUCAAUUGAGUUAGUCGUUUUUCGAUUAGAGGAUUAUGGCACAAGAGUGGUAUGGCUCCCUGCAUAGAGGUAGGCCGACUGGUGCAACCUCGUUGAUUUGAGAUGAGUUUAGUACAGCGUUCUUGGAUCGAUUCUUACCAAUCAGUGUACGUAAUGCAAGAGCUAGGGAGUUUGAGGCCUUAGUACAGACCCAAGGUAUGACGGUGUCGAAAUACGACAUCAAAUUAACAUAGUUGGCUUAGUAUGCGCCCUAUCUAGUUUCUACUGAGGAGAUGAAGAUUCAAAUAUUUAUGGAUGGGCUAGUGGAGCCAUUGUUUAGGGCUGUAGCAUCCAAGGAUUUGGAAACCUACACCGCAAGCCAUGGAUUGUGCUCAGUAGAUUAAGAUGAGGAGUAGCGAGAGUAGGGCUGUAAGGGAUAGAAUAAAAAGAGCCAAGAUAGAGGGCCAUCAGGGUCUAAGAGACUUUAGUAAUGACAUUUCAUCUUUUAACGAUUAGGGCCCACACUAGAACUCAUGGUUACCCCAACAGGGGAGUGGCUCGCCUAGUGCCAGUAUUACGGUGGGAUAGAAGACCUUCGGUGUUGUGAGAUAGAAAGAUUUAAGGUAGGGUGGCCAGGUUAUCAAUCAUUGCAAUAUUUGUGGAGUACGACAUAGAGGAUGAUGUGUCCGAGCUACAGGGGUUUGCUAUACAUGUGGUGAGCUUGGACAUAUUAGGAGGAAUUGCUCAAGGGCUCAUUAAUCACAAGGUUCUGCUCGCGGCUCUACCCAGCUAGCUUCGUCUGCUCCUUCAACAAUUGCUUCACCUAACUAGGAGGCUAGCGGGUUGAGACAUAGAGGUGUUGUUACUUCCUCUUAGAGCAAGCCGUCUGGGUCUAGACAUCGGAGUUCUGUUGGUAGGGGCCACGCUAGGGUGGAUGCUCUGACACCUUAGGAGGCCCAAACGUCCAAUGCAGUGGUGUCAAGUACUUUUCUAUUUGUGAUAUGAAUGCUCGUAUUGUUUGAUCCUAGUUCUACCCACUCUUUCAUUUUUCCAUGUUUUGCACCUCGACUGGGUAAAGAUCGUGUUAUGAGAUAAUAACAAUAAGUGGUGUCUACCCCUUUAAGGGAGGUAUUUGUAGCAGAAUGGGAAUAUAUGUCCUAUGUAGUUUGGGGUCAAGGACAAAGACACUUUGGUCAAUCUAGUGGUAUUAAACGCCUUAGAUUUUGAUGUGAUUUCGAGAAUGGAUUGGUUGUCGCCCUACCAUGCCAGUGUGGAUUGUUAGCAUAAAUCAGUUGAUUUGAUUUUCCAAGAUAGCCAUCAUUUAGUAUUCAAGGGGAUAGAAGCAAUGCUCCAACCAAUUGACAUCUACCAUGUCUACUAAAAGGCUAUUAAGAUAGGGUUGUCCGGGUUAUUUAGCUAUUGUGAGAGAUACCUAAGCGAAGGUCGAGGAUAUAAACCAAGUAUCAAUAGUGAAUGAGUUUAUAGAUGUAUUUCCAUAUGACCUACCAAGUUUGCCUCCUGAACGAGAGAUUGAAUUUGUAUAGACUUAAUUCCCAACACUAGACCCAUAUCCAUACCCCCAUAUUGAAUGGCACUUGCGAAGCUUAAGGAACUUAAGGAUCAGUUAGAAGAUUUGUUAGAUAAAGGCUUCAUCUGCCCCAAUGUCUCACCAUGGGGAGCACCGGUGCUAUUUGUAAAGAAGACAGAUGGGUCACUUAGAUUGUGUAUUGACUACCGAUAGCUUAAUAAAGUGACGGUGAAGAAUAAGUAAUCUCUUCCAAGAAUAGAUUUAUUUGACCAACUACAAGGAGCACAAUGUUUCUCUAAGAUAGAUCUGCAAUUUAGGUACCAUCAAUUAAGGAUUAGGAAUGAAGACAUACCAAAGACUGCAUUUCGAACAAGAUAUAGGCACUAUGAGAUUUUAGUGAUGUCAUUUAGGCUUACGAAUGCCCCUGCGACCUUUAAGGAUUUAAUGAACUGAGUGUUCAAACCUUAUUUGGACAAGUUUGUGGUGGUAUUUAUAGAUGACAUUUUGAUAUACUAAAAGAGUCGGGCAGAACAUGAGCAACACCUUAAGAUAAUGCUCUAAACUUUGAGAGAACAUCAGUGUAUGCCAAGUUCUCCAAGUGUAAGUUCUGGCUCGAAAGUGUUGCCUUUUUAGGACAUAUGGUCUCUAAGGAUGGGGUACAAGUCGAUCCAAAGAAAGUUGAGGUAGUGGAAAAGUGGCCAAGGCCAACUUUGGUUCUGAAGAUUAGGAGCCUUUUGGGUUUGGCCAACUACUACUGUCGUUUUGUGAAAAAUUUCUCCAAAAUAGCUGCACCUUUGACUAAGCUGACACAUAAGGAUACAAAAUUUGAGUGGUCAGAUGCUUGUGAGGAUAGCUUUGAGAAGCUUAACGUUUGUCUCACCACUGCUCCAGCAUUAAGCCUACCGCAAGGCACAAGGGGUUAUACAGUAUUUUGUUAUGCAUCACGAAUUAGUUUAGGUUGUGUAUUAAUGCAACAUAGGAAGGUGAUUGCAUAUGCAUCGAGACAACUUAAAAGGCAUGAGCAAAAUUACCGCAUGCACGAUUUGGAGAUGACAGCAAUCGCGUUUGCCUUAAAGAUUUGGAGACAUUAUUUGUAUGGUGAGACUUGCGAGAGAUAUACAGACCACAAGAGCUUAAAAUAUAUAUUUUAGUAGAGGGAUCUUAACUUGUGACAACAUAGGUGGAUGGAGCUGCUUAAGGAUUAUGGUUGUACUAUUCUCUAUCUUCCCAGUAAGGCUAAUGUAGUGGCGAAUGCCUUAAGUCGAAAGUCAAUAAGGAGUUUGGCACAUAUAUCUAUCGAUAUGAGAUCCUUGAUUUGGGAAAUGCAGGGUUUAGGAGAUAUGGGUGUGCAUUUUGAAGUUUCAGAGACAAAUGCAUUGUUAGCACAUUAUAGAGUUAGACCUAUCUUAAUAGACCGGAUUAGAGAAGCCCAAAAUAAAGAUGAGUUCGUAACUAAGGCCUUGGAGGACCUUUAAAGAGGGAAAGGAAAAAUGUUUACUAAAGGCACAGAUGGAGUAUUGAGGUAUGGGACCAGACUUUAUGUGCCCAAUAGUGAUGGAUUGACGAGAGAAAUACUAGAUGAGGCACAUAUGGCAGCAUACAUGGUACAUCUAGGAGCUACAAAGAUGUACCAAGAUUUGAGGGAAGUAUACUGGUGGGAAGGACUUAAGAAAGACGUAGCUGAGUUUGUUUCUAAGUGCCUAGUUUGUCAAUAGGUUAAGGCAGAGCACCAAAGGCCCGCAAGGCUACUACAACCAUUGUUGGUGCCCUAAUGGAAGUGGGAGCAUGUUGCAAUGGACUUUGUAAAGGGCCUACCUCGAACUAGUAAGGGUUACGACUUGAUUUGGAUUAUAGUAGACCGGUUAACGAAGUUAGCUUAUUUUUUUCGGUUAAAACUACAAACGGGGCUGCCUAGUAUGCUCGAGUUUAUGUCGACGAGAUAGUACAACUGCAUGGUAUUCCUAUUUCUAUAGUAUCUGACAGAGGGACACAGUUCAUCAGUAGGUUCUAGGGAAAGUUGCAGGAAACAUUGGGCACUAAGUUGGAUUUCAGUACAACUUUUCACCCUUAGAUUGAUGGACAGUCUGAACGAACAAUACAAAUAUUGGAAGAUAUGCUGAGAGCAUGUGUAAUAAACCUUAGGGUUAGAUAGGAUUGGUAUCUACACUUAGUCCAGUGUUGCUUACAAGAAUAACUUCCAAGCUAACAUCCAAAUGGCACCAUUUGAGGUAUUAUAUAGACGGAGGUGCAGGUCACCCAUUGGGUGGCUAGAGGUGGGAGAAAGAAAACUCUUGGGGCCAGAAUUGGUAUAGGAUGCCACUGAGAAGAUAGAAAUGAUUGGUUAGAGGAUGUUAUCAGUGAAAAGUAGACAAAAGUCAUAUGCUGAUAAUAGAUGGAAAGACUUGGAGUUUCGAGUGAGGGAUCAUGUAUUUUUGAAGGUUUAACCAACAAAAGGGGUAAUGAGGUUCGGUAAGAAAGGAAAAUUAAGUCCUCUGUAUGUAGGACCUUCGAGAUCUUAGAAAAGAUUAGAACAAUAGCAUACCGUUUGGUAUUAUCAUCGGACCUCUUGAAUAUCCUUCAAGUAUUUCAUGUGUCGAUGCUAAGGAAGUAUAACCCAGAUCCAUCUCAUGUAAUACAAUAUGAAACCAUUCAGUUAAGAGAUGAUUUAACAUAUGAGGAGCAACCAGUUGCUAUCCUUGAUAGGCAAGUCAAAAAGCUCCAUUCAAAGGAUGUAGCCUUAAUGAAAGUGUUAUGGAGAAACCACACUAGUGAAGAGGAAACGUGGGAAGCUGAAGAGGAGAUGCGGACAAAGUAUCCUCCUCUUUAAUACAUAGAGGUAUGCAACCUUAUAGUUGGAUUUAAAUUCGGGGAUUGAAUUUUCUUUUAAUAGGGGAGAAUGUGAAACCUCGACCUCCACGAAAACAUAACUAGAGGUAGACUGAUGAGUGCAUCAAAUUAACAUAUUUAAUGGGAGAUUAAAUACCUAAUUAGUCUAAGUUGGACUAGAUUUAGGAUCGAAUUUAGGUAUUUUUAUUUAUUUUAUUAGUUUAGUUUAAUUUAUGUUUAAAUGUUUAUUUUAAGUUAAUGAUGUUAGUUUGACAUUAUUUAUAAUUAUUUUAUGUUUAUAGAAGUAGGAUAAAAUAUAACUUCAAUUGGUGAAGAAAAGUGCAUAAUGGACUAUUGCUCUAUUUGCAUAUGUUUUGAUUUUUUAAGCAUAUCUCCCACUACAAAAGUCCAAAUGACAUUAGUUUUAGACCAUUAGAAAUCUAAUAGGCAGGGCUACAACUUUGAUGUUCACCACUUUGCCCAAUUUUGACCAAAAAGUGGUCAAAAUCUUUGUCAAAGUGAAAGCAUUGCACUUGAAGAACAAAAAAGGUCAUUUUCGUAAAUUACGUGAAACUUUGAUUGACUUUAGAGAUAAAUAUCUAAAGUUCUAGCACCUUCUUCAUCUUCUUCUCAUUUCUUCUCUCCUUUUUGUAGAACUUUUCAUCCUGCAUGGAAAGAAACCUUAAAACCUCCAUAACCUUCUCAUACUAACUCCAAAAUUCAUGCUUUUGCACACUUUUUCGUAGAGUUUUUCGUUCUCUUUCACUUUUUCACCUUAAAAACCCUCAAAAAAUGUUUUUCCUCUGCACUUUCUCUCGCUAGCUGAACAUUUUUAGAGAGGGAAACUCUUUGAAUUAGCUUGAAAACUCUUGAAGGAGUUUUCCCCUUUUAAUCCUCACUAAGGAAAUUCAACCACAAGUCCACCAAGGUGAGAAAUAAGUUAGGGUUGAUUUUAAGUUGUUAAAGAUGGCUAAUAAUUAGAUUUGUGGGCUAUUACAUUUUUUAUGGUUAUAUUGUGUGUGAUAGGUUCCAACGAGGCCCCACAUGUCCAUUUGGAGCAUUACUUUAAGUUAGAGUCGAUCAAAAGAAUCAAUAAGGACAAAUGAGUGAAAUACAUAUGUGUUGAUAUGAAGCACUUAAAUGAUUAUAUUUGACUUUUUUUCUCUAAAUCAUGCCUGGGAACAAGCCCUUGAUGAAACGUUUUAUGUUGUAAAAUGUGUAAUGUGAUGAACCCAUAUGUUCCUAUAUUCGGAUGAUAUAUAUGUUAUGCUUUGAAUGAUAAUAUUGUGUGAUAAUUGUAACCGCGCGUGAGCGGUGUCGGACUGCAUAUGCCGGUGAUGACAGGUGAUUCCAGCUAUAUGCGUUGUGGGAGUGCACAUGAGCUGAUGAUCGGUGGAUGAUGAUUCUAGCUAUGUGCGGUGUAGGAGUGCAAAUGAGUUGAUGACCGAUGGAUGAUGACUCUAGCUAUGUGCGGUGUUGGAGUGCACAUGAGCUGAUGACCCGUGGAUGAUGAUUCCAGCUGCGUGCGGUGUGGGAGUGCACAUGAGCUGAUGAGCCGAUGGUUGUAUACGUGUUGACACAUACCAUAGAUAUGUUAGAGAAAAUAUUAUGUGAUUGCAAUGAAUGUUGAAUGUUGAAAUUGUUAAUUGCUUCCAAAUUGAUUUUCAAUGCAAGAAGAAACUCUUUGUCUUGCCUGUCUUGCUUGGAUAUUUGCUGUAGUUUUCACUCUUUUCAACUUUGUUGUUGAUCAUAGAUCCUUCACUUUAAGGGAUUAAAUAACCAAAGGUUGAAUCAAAGGGCUUUACAAUAAAUUAAACUAAAUUGCAUAGUUUUUAACAUAAGUGCAUCAUGUUUUCUACAACUUUUCAUAUUGUUUGCUUGUUCCCUUCCUAUGUUCACUCACUGAGUUUGUACUCACUCUUUUAAACUUCAUGUUUUCAGAGUCAGAGGCAGUUGGGACCUAGAUUGAGGUGUCUAUGUAUAUUCAUCUUUUUGGUAGGUACCAUGGCAUUCAGUAGUUGUACCUUCACCCAAAGUCACUCCGCUAGUAGUCAAGAGUCUUUUGCCUGUGUAUGCGUGCACGUGAUGUAAAUCACUAAGAUUCAUAGUAUAAACAAUAUAUGUAUAUUUUGAUUGAUGAUGCCACUAUGAGUUGACAAUGGGUGAUAUUAUUUUAGAUUAUCUAAAUGUAAGUAUUUGAUUGCCAUAGUAGAUCACUGAAUAUUUUUAUAGUUGAGAAUUACGAAAUGUGACUUUAGAAACGAUUGUUGAAAUGAUGAUCAAGAUUACAUAAAGAGGCUUGCUUAGGCUUAAUGGGCUAUGCCCAUUGGGCCCAUGCGCCGGUCAUGGCUCCAAAACUGGGUAGUGACAUGGUUUAACUUAAAUUUGAUUCUCACCAUAUCCCAAUUUAUGUUAUAGUGUCAUUACUCAAAGUCAACCAUUUAGAUGAUUUGAGACUCAUCAAUCCCUUGAAGUGAAUCACAUUUGUUUUGUUGGAAGUAAUAUGGACACUAUAGCCUUAACACAAUAAAGUGACUAGCUUUGUUAAAUGGUUGUGAACAAUUUUUAGAUUCAAUUAAAAUGCAUGUCUCCUAUAUAUGACGCUUCAUACCAAUGUAUUUUAAUAUCUUAAUAUAAUCAUGGUACCUUAAUAACUAGAUAAUGAAUGCUUACUUAUAACAAACUCUUCGUCUUAUUAUCAAAAUGUAUAUUCAUUACAAAUAAAUUAAGUGAAAUUAAACAUGAGAAUAUACUUGCUUUCUAAGGUACCAAAUUCUCAAAAUUCCUAACAAAAUUCCAUUUACCUUAUGAGAUGAGUAAGCAUGUAUGUGAUAGACAUUCCAACAUACUAAAUGCUAUAAGUUCAAAAGAUUAAUGAGUGUGAUUGAUUCCACUCACACGGGGUGUAGUGACAACUUCACUUUUAUGACGCAUCAUAAAUGCCCAAGGUGCAAUAAGGUUGUACAUUGCUGGUCCAAGGUUGAUGGGGGUUGUACCAUCAAAAUGUGUCAGUUUAAUGUUAAUAGAAUGAUCAUGAUUGUUAUCCUUAUGAUAUGUUGCAUGUUAAGUUCAUCUUAAAUAAUGUUAUCAAGUUAUUCUCUAUGUUCCCAUGAGAAUGCGUUUUGAGAAAUGAAAUGAGCCAUUGAGAUAGUCUUAAGUGGUAAGGGGACUCAAGGAAUGGCAAAAAUACAAAAUUUCAUCCAAAAAACAGAGUUUCAUAGGCUAUCUAUCAAUACAUGUAGAACAUCUAUCAAUAGAUAGUAGACAUAAUACAACAAGAAGUAUUUUGUUUCAACUCUAUAGAUAGAUAUUCAUCAUCUAUCGAUAGAUGAGUUCUAGAAUUAUAUGUAUUGGCAUGUUUGAAAGCUUUUCAAAGGUAAAAAGUUUUUCCAAUGGUUAUUCACACUUGUUUACAUCAGAUAUGCUAUUUUAAACGUGUUUAAACACCAUGUUUCAAGAGAUUAAGUUUAAAUUGUUCAUAAUUAUAAGUGCAUGUUUUCAAAAUACUCUUAUCCCCCAACUUGUCCCCUUCCCAUAUCCACUAACAAAGUCUUUGUGUCACAGCCCAAAUCCCGAGCCAUGACCGGAGCAAGGGCCUAAUAGGCACAGCCCACUAGACCCAAGCAAGCCUUUCUAUAUGAACUUGUACAUUAGCCCAUCUAUCAUCCAUAUUUCUUUAAAAUCUAUAAUUAAUAAUAUUCAAAUAUAAUUUCUUUGAAAACAAUUCAUAAAACCCAAGUAUUUACUCAUAGUGGCAUCAUUGAUCAUAAUAUACUUUGAUAGUCUGACAAAUGAAUCUUAGCAAUUCACAUUAAGUAUACAUAAACACAUACAGUGAUCCUGAUAGUCAGCAAAGUGACUCUUGGCGUGGGUGCUAACAUUUAGUGGCAUGGUGAACCUAUUGAAAGAUGAAUAGAAGGGAGCACCUAGACCUAAGAUCCAACUACCUUCAAUCCUAAAACUAAAACAUGAAUUUGAAAAGAAUGAGUAUAAACUCAGUGAGUGAACAUAGGAAGGGAACAAGCAGCCAAUAUUGAAAGUUUUUGAAAACAUGAUGCACUUGUUUUGAAAACAAUGCAAUUUUGUAUACCAUAAACAAAACUUUAUGCCAUGUUGUCUUUUAACUCGUUUAAAACAUUUCAGAAAAUCAACAUUCAACAUUCAAUACAAUCACAUAAUAUUUCCUUAACUUUUUCAUAGCAUAUAUAAACAUACAUUCAACUACAGGUCAUCAGCUCUUGUGCACUCCCUACACGCACAAGGCAAUAUCAUCAUGUGCACUCCCUACACGCACAUUUCAAUAUCAUCAUGUGCACUCCCUACAUGCACAUUUCAAUACCAUCACAUGCACUCCCGCCCACAUCAUCACCAGCACCAUCAUGUGCACUCCCACACCACAAACGCACGGUUAUAUUAAUCAAUCAACAUUACCUUUCAAAGAAUAACGCACAUAUCAACACAUAACAAAAUCUUUGCAUAGUACUAUUUCUCACAUAAUUCAUUAUUUUACUAGUCAUAAACAUAGUUGCACAAUCCAACACUCAAAAAGAAUAACAUUAUUCAUUUUGCCAAUAAUUUAGGACAUCUCUAGAUUUCCAAUACACACAUGCCACAAAUCAAUUGGCAAAUCAACAUAACAUUCCAAGUACAUAACUCAGCACAUUAUUUAUUCAACCACGUAAAAGAAUUACUUAAGAAAAGCUUGUUCCCGUGCAUAAUUUUAAAAGAAAUCAACCAAGGAUAUUCAAAUAUUUUAUUCAAACACAUGCAUUUGUUCAAAGCAUUUUAAAUGCAAGUUUACUAACCUUCACGAUGCCACUGAACAAAAUCUUAAUCCAGGUAGUCUUGAAAUACCGUUAAAACCUAUAUUUAGCAAUAAGCCAUAACAACCUCCAUCAAGUCAUAAUUUGAAUUUAACAAUUCUAAUAAGUAUACACUAUACAAUCUACACUCUAACUAUCAUGACCCAAAUCCCGGCCAUGACUGGCGCAAGGGCUCAAUGGACAUAGCCCACUAAGCCUAAGCAAGCCUAUUAAUAUGACCUAUUCAUCGUUCCAUCAAAGUUGCUAAAUCACAUUUCAUAACUUCGAAUUAAAAUAAUACUAAACAUUGCCAACUCGUAGUGGCAUUACUAAUCAAAGAUACAUGUAUUAUCUAAACAUACGUCUUAAUAAUUUACAUUGGGUUUGUCUACACACAACAAAAAGAGUACUCAACUUCUAGCGGAGAGACUUGAAGAAAUGUACAAGUACUGAAUGCCGAGACACCUACCAAGGGUCAAAUAUACGAAGACACCUCGACCUAGUUACCAACUGCUUCUUGAUCUGAAAACAUGCAGUUGAAAAUGGUGAGUAUAAACCCAGUGAGUGAAUAAGGAAGGGAACAAGCAAUAUAAUAAGGAAAAGUUUGAAAUCAUAAUGCAUUUAUUUGAAAAUGAUGCCCUUUAGCUUAAGUCCUUAUUAAAACCCUUAAUUGAACCCUUGGUUGAUAAAUCGUGUGAUGCUAAAGAAUUCAUAUUCAACAUGAAAUUGGAGAAGUGGAAAAUAUGGUAAAAACCAACCAAGUGAUAAGCGGCACAGAAAGUUUCAUUCUCACUGCAGCGAGAAACAGAGCAACAAGAAAGACUUCCUUUCAUCCCAAAUAAACCAUUUCACUGCAAUGCAAAUCAAUUUGGAACACUAUAAAAAAUGCUCAAGGUUCAGCAAGCAGGAUUCCACAUACAUUAUAGUCACACAUGUGCAAACAUAUCUGUAUAUAUAUAUAUAUAUAUCCAUCACCAAGCACACUCUCCCAUCGUCAUCAGGUCAUGUGCACUCCCCACUAACACAUGGCUGGGUCAGCAUCGGCUUAUGCACACUCCUACUCGCACAUAGCCGGGUCCACAUCAACAAACAAAAGAAACACCCAAUGCAUAUUAUACAUAUCAUCAUAUUGUGAUAACACAUAAACCAUUUAUAUAGCACAUUUUCACAAGAUAAAAACACUUCAUCAAAGGCUUGUUCCAAAGGUACAUUUUUAAAGAAAAGCUGGAUAAAAUCUUUCAAAUGUUUGUACAAUUACCUUCACAUUCCCAAAACAAAUUUUGAAAUGCAAGUCUACUCACUUGUCUUUGUUAAUUCUUAAAGUAACUCUAAAUUCCACUAAUGCCCCGAAUGGUGAUAUAGGGUUUCGGUGGAACCUAUCACACAUUAGCAUCAUAAUUAACUCAAUCACAUAACCAUAAUUCUGAAAGUUGUCUCCUAAAUCAUGUUCCACUAGUUAUUCCUAACUAGCUUCCAACUACCAUUAAGUGGCUAAUUAUUUGCACUAUUAUAAUCACACCAAAAUGAAUAAACUACCUCAACUACAAAACACUCAUAAAUCUAACUAUUAAUCAUUCUCAACAACUAAAAUAUCAACUCAAUUUAAAUUCUCACCUUGCUAGAUUUGCAAUUGAGUAUUUCCUUAAGAAUUCCCAAACUAUUAUAAAAGGUCUUUCUUUCUUUCUCUAAAACCCUAGUUAGUGAGAGAAAGUAUUGAUCUAAGACAUUUCAAGGGUUUUAAGGUGAAAGAGUGAAAGAGCAUAAGAGGUUUUAUAAAAAAAAUGCACAAAAGAAUGAAAAUGAAGGCUAACUUGAAAGGGUUAUGGAAGCUUGAAGAGUGCUCCCAUGGAAGGUGAAGAAAUGUGGGAUGGGAGGAAGAAUAAGAAGAUGAAGUGUUGGAAAUCUGAGGAAGGUGCAGGAGAAUGAAGAUAUUUAUAGUUAAAACUUAUCCAAUUGUUCAUGAAAUUACAAUAAUGCCCUUAGCAAUGCCACUUGUCUUCUUAUUGUUCUUAUGCAAGCUUUUACUCUUUUAACACUAGGAAAAGGUCCAAAAUCCUCUGAAAGAGGUCCCUUAAGUAGCCCCCAAAAGUCCUAGCUUCAAAAACCCCAAAAUCUUGUUAUUUGUAGAAUUUACGGUGAGGGCCGCGGCUCUCUAUUUCUUGUGCCGUGGCGCUCAAACAUUCUACCAAUUUAUGUUCUUCUAGCGCAUUCCUUUCACUUCAACAAAGAUUUUGACCACCUUUCCGCCAAAACUGGGAAAAGUGGUAAACAUAAAAGUUGUAGCCUUGCCUCUUAGCUUUCUAAUGGUUUAAAAAUCAUGUCAUUUGGACUUCCGUAAUGGGAGAUAUACUUAAAAAAAUGAAAGAUAUGCAAUAGGGCUACUGUUCAUUAUGCACCUUUCUACACCAAUUAAAAUUAUUUUUGAUCUUACUCCUAUAACGACAUAAAAUAAUUAUAAUUAAUGUAAAACUGGCAUCAUUAGCUCAAAUUAAACCUUUAAACAUAAGUUCCACCUCGAGUUUCGCGUCUAUGAAGGUCGAGGUUUCACACUAACCCAACUUUUAACCUAGAAUUCUAGUCUAAUUCACAAACCCAUUAAACUAAUUGUUCAAGUUUGAAGUUUCUUUACCUUGGUGCUUGAAGGUAUAAAAAUCAACCCAACCUAGCAAAUUUCAAGAAAAGGAAAUUUGAAGAAACUUAGAAAAUAAAGUCUAAAAAUUACAAACCCAUAAAUUCAAAAAUUCAAGGGUUGAAAAUAUAUAUCUUUUAGCCUUAAAAUGAAGAUUUGAAGCCAAAAUCCAAGUGUUGUUGAAAGUUGAGUAGAAAUUGAAAAUAAAAGAAAGGAAGAGAAAUUUUCCUUUCUCUCUCCUAAGGUUUAUAUGUGCUGGAAAUUGGGGUUAAAAGCUAUAGGUUUAGUGCCCAAGAAGUUAGGAGAAGAAAGAAGUAAGAAGAGAAAGGAAAGGAAAAGAAAACAAGGAAAGAAAAUGAAAAAACUUGAUUCUUUUGGUGAAGCAUGCAAAUGGCGUUGGCAUGGAUGAGGAAGAAAAAGAAAAUAUCUUGGUGGAGAGGAUAAGGACCAAGUUAAUGGCAAAAUUACCAUUUUGACCUCCAAGGUUCUUCACUUUUUUAUUUAGUCCUCCCAACAUUCUUUUAAAUCCAAUUUCCUUAUAUUAUCUUCUUUUACACAUGUACAAAUGAAAUAUAAAGUUUGUAUCCCAACACGGUGUCACCAUAAUAUUUAAAAUAUAUUUUUACCUGAGUUAGUUUUAUUUAAUAACAACGCGUAGGCUCCACUAACUUCAUUUUUCUUUGGAAUUUUCUCUUUCUUCCUCUCCCUCACUUAGAUUGACCAUAUACUCCUCCUUCAUGAAAAAUUUCGACACCGAUUUAAAAUAUUAAUAUUUUAAUAUUAUUUUAUUAAUUAAAUAUUAUUUUGUUCUAAAAUUUUCCAUUUGUCUCCAUGGUACCCAAAAUACCUUAUUACGCUUCAAUUCACUUCCGAAUCACUUUUUAUCUCACAAAUUAUUCUUUGAUAAAAAUAUUAUUAUUUUAUUAUUAUUUCCUCGAGUGUGAAAUAUUUUAUCUUAAAAUACUCUUUUCACCUUUCAUCACUUUUAAACAUUCCAAUCAACCUCAAUUAGCAUCCGAUAAGCUUUAUUAGCUACCAUAUCAAAAUAUGGAAUAUUACAAUCUCCCCGACUUAAAUAGAAUUCGUCCUCGAAUUCUCUUUAACAUGGGGUCGUUAAUCUCACUCAAUGAUCACAUUCCAUUUCCUUCUUCAUAGGAAAUUUGAUUUACGCACCUCGUUAUCUUCAAUUUGACUAGAACACUUUACAAGGUUAGGGUACGUAACUUAUAUCUAUUAUCAUCUUUGAGUCAAAACCACGGUACCCUUUUCAAUUGUUCUUUCUUAUCAAUAAGAUCCCAAGUAUGCCUUUAAUUCCAUCACUAACCUCAAACAUAUCUUUAUUUCGAUUCUUGUCAAGCCUCUAGUCAUUCAUUCACCUCGUUUACCCCUAGUUCGACUAGAGUGCUUCACUUAUGUCUGUUAUCAUCCUUUAGAAUCAAAUUGGCGGUACCUUUCAUGAUCAUUAUCUCUUAUUUUAAGACAUUGAGUAUGUCGUUAUCACCAUCAUUAAAUUUGAACCAUAACUCCAUCUUAAUCAUACCGAUUUCAAUCACAUUUUAUACUCACUUAUGUAUACCAAUCACCAUCUUAUUACUUCAUUCCUUGUCAAACUUCUUGACAUUCAUUCAUUCAUCCUAUCCUCAUACACUAUUAUGUAGCUUACAGCAUCAUUAACAUGCCAUAUUCAUUCCUGUACAUAUUCCCAAUGUUGGGGGAGGUUAAUGGCUUCAAUUAUUCCCACAUACUCAUGUACCUUGCAUUUCUGCAACUUCAAUCUUCUUAAUCAUAUUUGUCCAUCUUGUAUGGCUUAACCACGUUAUAGAUUACAUUUCCUUGGUAUCAUUUCUUUGACUAUUUCUCCAAAAUUUCUUAUAUCAACAUAGCUCAACUUCUGAUGGGAUUUCUUAUCAUUGCACUAUCUAGACAACUCAUCAAAUAUUGAGUUCAAAGAUCGAAUCACUAAGAACAUGUGAAACCUCAACCCCUAUAGGCUCAUAACUACGCAUAAACGCAAUAACACGGGUCAAGGGUAGUUUCAUAAUUUCUUUUAAAAAAAAAGCUCCCAGAAUAAGGUUUUAUGAUAUUUUAAGGUCUAAAUAGGCAUAAGACCGAAUAAAUAAUGUGUAAUGAUGAAAACACGAAGAAAACUAUAAGUUUCAAUAAUUUUCACCACAAGGGCAAAAUGGCCAUUUUUCACCUUGGGUCAAAAUUUUUAAGUUUCGUAAACCCGAGCAUGUGUAGACCAUUAUGGACUUGUUUUAGUAUCAAAAGAGUUAAAAAAUUCCACAAAGGAUUAGAGAAGAACAAAUUAACUUGCAAAAGGGUAUUUUCGUAAUUUCAAAGGGAAUGGAUAAGCUUGACCUAUAAAUACUUUUCUUCUAGUAGCUUCCUCAUUGUCCAACAGCUUUUCUUCUUCUUCCUUCUUCCCUCUCACAUUUCUUCAUCCUCCAUGGAAGCAUGGUAUGAAAACUUCAUAAAUUUCUCUCUCUAGCUCCAAAUUUCAUGCUUUUACCCACUCUUUCAUACGAUUUUUCAUGCUCUUCCACUUUUACACCUUAAAACCCUCAAAAAGUCCUUGUUCAGCACUUUCUUUCACUAGUUGGAGGUUUUAGAGAGAGAAAGAGAGAUUUUCCACAUUUGUUUAGAAGCUAUUGGAAAAGAAUUCAACUACAAAGAAACCCUAAGGUGAGUGAUGAACUAGGCUUAGUUUUAAGUUGUUGAUAAUGGCUAGUAAUUGGGAUUAUGAGCUGUUUUAUUGUUGAGUUUUUUACUCAUUUUUAGUGUGAUUAGAGUAGUGCAAGGAAUAGCCAUUUGCUAUAGUUGGAAGCCAAUUAGGAAUGACUAAAAGAAUUUGAAUUAGAAACUAGCUUUCGUAGUGAUAUUAAUGUAAAUUGGAUAGGUUGUGAUGUUGUAUGUGUAUAGGUUCCAACAAGGCCUCACUUGCCCAUUUGAACCAUUAGUGAAGGUUAGAGUCGAUUAGAGGUUCAGCAAUACCAAUGAGUGAACUUGCAUUUCAAAGUAUUUUUGGAAAUGUGAAUGUGUUUGCACAAGACUUUAAAUGAUUUUACCCAACUUUUCUUAAAACAAGUGCCUUGGGAACAAGCUUUUACUAAGUAGUUUUAUGUUGUGAUAUGUGGUUGUUAUGGAUUCAUGCACUAUUGCAUUAUGAUGAUAUAUAUAUAUAUGUUAUGCAUGAUUGUUGAUAUUGUGUAUGAUGAUUAUAACCGUGUGUGUGCACGAUGUGGGGGGAUACACAUGCCAGUGAUGGUGGUGUGGGAGAUGGAUGAUGAUAGUGCCUGUGUACACGAUGUGGGGGGAUGUACACGAUGGCACUGAUUGUGCACGAUGUGGGGGGAUGCACACGAUGGCGUCUGCUAUGUGCAUGAUGUGGGGGGAUGCACAUGACCUGGGUGUGAUUAUGAUGAUAUUGAUGUUUAUCUAUGUAUUUAUGCAUAUCUAUGCUUAUGAAAUGAAAGUUCAUGAAUAUGAUAUAUGAUUGAAAUGCAUGCGAAAUUGGCAUGAUGAAUCUUGAGAAUGUCGCAUUUCCUUGCAAAUUGAGCUCAUGGCAACACCAAAUGGAUUUUUAGUGCAAAUGAGGCCCUUUUUACACUUAGGUGCCCUGCUUCUAGCUGUAGCGAGAAACAUUCUGUUUUGGUAGCAGAAAACUCGCUGCAGCGAAAAUAAAUCUCGCUAUAGCGAGAAACUCUCAGGUUUUGAUGCAGUGCCUUUAUUUUGAUAAAGAUUUUUACCACUUUUCCAUUUGAAUUGGGAAAAGUAGUAAACAUCAAAGUUGUAGCCCUACAUCUUAGCUUUCUAAUGGUUUAAAAUUCAGGUCAAUUGGACUUCUGUAACGGAAGAUAUUCUAGAAAAACUGAAACAGAUGCAAACUAGUAUUGUUUCUCGCUACAGCAAGAAUGAACUUUGCUGUAGCGAGAAACAUUCUGUCCUACAUGCUACCCUAUUCGGUUUUUGACUUAUUUUUCACCCAUUAUAUUCAUGGGUUUGUGAAACACUAUGAGGGCAUUAAUCAAGGUUUGAAAUGAGGGGUUUUUAGUAAGAAAUUAAAUCAAGUGCAUUGUUUUUGAAACAAGUGCAUCAUGAUUUCCAAAUUCUUCCUAUCCGCUUGUUCCCUCCUUAUGUUCACUCACUAAGUUUCGUACUCACAUUUUUAAAUUUCAUGUUUUCAGAUUGAAGGCAGUUGGGGCCUAGAUUGAGUUGCACACAUAUGCUCGCUUUCUUGGUAGGUACUAUGGCAUCUCAAUAGCCGCAUCUUCACUGUGGUCACUUCGCUAGAAGUCAAGAAUCAUUUUGUUUUAUGAGUAUGUUCAUGUGAUGUAAACUACUAAGAUACGUGUUUUAGAUGAAAUAUGUAUAUUUUAACUGUGAAUGCCACCAUGAGUUGAAAUGUUAACAUCAUUUUGGGUUUAUAUUAAUGAAAUUCUUGAUUGUUAUAGCCCAUUAUUAAAGUGAUUAUAAGUUGGAAUUAUGAAAGGUGACUUGAGAAUAAUUGAUGGGAUGUUAAGCAAGAUUACAUAAUAGGCCUGCUUGGGCUUGGUGGGCUAUGCCCAUUGGGCCCAUGCACCUAUCAUGCCCGAGAAUUUAGGCUGUGAUAGAACAAUUCUUACUUCAGUUGGGUACAUCACUAACUCCACACAUACAUACGUAUCCGCACAUUUAAGUCUCAUCAUUCCUUAUUAUGUGUGGGGAUCUUUGUUUUGAAGUGCCUUUAGACUAAUUUCUCUUUGUUCGUUCCCAUCCAUAACCAAGAUUCAGUAUGAUAAUCUUUAUAGUUCAUGUCAAUGUUCUCAUAUUUAAUCUAUGAGCAUUGGGGUAUAAUAAAUUUCAAAUUACCCUUUUUAUAUGUUUAAAUCACCAUUUCACUCGCAUCUUACCAUAAGUUAUCUCUUACAUAAUCCAUAAGAAUUCUCAUUAUGCCUAUGCAUAGCUUCACGUCCUUUUCAUGCUUAUACUCCUUUCUUAUCAUUUCCAAUUAUAUACUUAAGUUUCAUUAUACUAUAUAUUCUUGCAUCAUAAUGCCAUUAGUCACAUCUCACUCACCAAAUGUCAUUUUCAUUAAAUUGCAAUCCAGUAUUUGUAUGUAUUUUAUAAUUUCAUUGAUCCUUCAAAGAUUCAUCUUUACUUGAUCACUGCAUCUUAUGCAAUAUCACAAUCCCUCCAAGACAUCCUUGUUUCUUAAUUAUCUUUCAUGCCUUUAACAUAUAUAUUAUAUCCUUAUUGCAUUUCGAUAUUAAUUAGUCACUUAAGACUUGGACUUAUUUGAAUCAUGCAUGCCUCAUGCGUUUUAGAAUUCCAAUUUCCAUAAUACAUUAAGAGGUUUUCAUUAUCCAACUUCAUUAUCAAGGUUACCUUUGUCAAAGCCUAAUUUUUGGGCCAUGACUAGCACAAGAACCCAAUAGGCUCAGCCCAUUGAGCCCAAGCAAGCCUACUUAAUUGAUCUUAUACAUUAAUCCCUAUUCCUUUAGAAUCCAAAGCUUGAAGUGUUCAAAUACCGUUUCUUUGAAAACGAUUCAUAAAACCCAAUCAUACAUUCAUAAAUAGAUUAACAAAUGAUUCUUAAUGUUUCACAUUAAAUAUUCAUAUACACAUAAUUAGACCUUGACCGUCAGCGGAGUGACUCUGGGCACGAUUGAUAACACUUAGUGUCACGUUAAACCAACAGAGCAAUGUAUAGGGAGGAGCACCUCGUCCUAGGAUCCAAUCACCUUCAACGCAGGAAACCUAAAACAUGAAUUUAAAAAACGUGAGUACAAACUCAAUGAGUGAACAUAGGAAGGGAACAAGCAUCAAUACGAGAAGUUUUAGAAAACAUGAUGCAUUUAUGUUGAAGACAAUGCAAUUUAACUCAAUUUCUUGUCACAACGAAAAUCUAUUUUUGCUGCAGUGAAAAUCAAGUGGAAACCAUUUCACAAGUUUUAACAUUCAAAAAUCAAUGCAACCACAAUAUAAUUUCCAAAAUCCUCUAUAUAUAUAACAUAUAUAAACAUACAUAUGACCACUGGCCUUACCCCCAACUCUGUCUCAGCUUAUGUUCACUACCACACCGCACAUAGCUGGGUCAGCAUAGCUCAUGUGCACUCCUACACCGCACAUGGCUGGGUCAGCACAGCUCAUGUGAACUCCUACACCGCACAUGGCUGGGUCAUAAUUAUCACACAAAAGUAUCAUUUAUUGUAUAAUAUACACGUCAACAUAAUGUAGAAACUCAUGAAUUCAUCAUAUUCAUAUCUCAUAAUAUCAAAACAUUUCAUCAAGGGCUUGUUCCCAUGCAAUUUUUAAAGAAAAACCAAUAAAAUAUUUCAAGUGGCUCAAUUAAGCAUAUAAUAAUUUUUUCCAAAACAUUUUAAUGUAAGUUCACUCACUUGGCAACGACGAGAUAUUAAAUCGCUAUUUGUUCAGAGGUGUCUCUAACUAUUUUCACUGGUCGGUUUCCCGUUAUUUUCUCCGACACGUCGCCACAAUACUCUAACCUUAUCUCUGCACUUCCUAGUAAUAAUACGAACUCAAUAUAUUUAAUUACAUACGUAUACGGGCAAUACUUCAAUCAAUUAAUCCUUCCUUAAAUUUAUAUUUUUCAUCCUAUCAUGAUACCAUCUUCAAUUAACUCUUAAUACAUUUUUACUAAAAUUACUUAUAUCCAUUGCUUACGUAAUUCCUUAGAUUAUAUCACCGGCAACUUAUUUAUGAUGUCACGUGCCUACUUCAACCUUUCUAAAUAAUUUUCGCCCAAAUCCAUCUUAUAUUUCCACACAUAAUCCACAUAGAUGGCAGAAACAAUCAUUCUUACUUUCACUCGAUUAUUUCCUAGUUUACAUGCAUUGUUAUCUAUCUAACUUUCAAUACUUUGUUUCUCAAUCCUCCAUCCACAAUAUUCCUUUUUCAUUUCUUUCAAACAACAUGCCAUACAAUCUUAAUAAUUUUCAACUAGCUUAGGCAAAUAGAUUCUUUCAACAACUGUAAUUCCUCACAAUAUGCAACUAACCGUAGGCUUUAAAACAUAGUGUUAAGAUUACCGUUUUCCUUUUCUACUUUGAGUCCUUCAUGUACCCAUGGGUUUAUUGGCUUACAUGUUACCAAUUUUUCUUCAAUCAAGCUAAUUUUUGCUGCCACAAGACAUUUCUCUAAGCCACUAACUCAUUUUCAAAGACUACUCAAGUCAAAAGCAAGAAUUCUUACCGUUCCUUGCUUGAAUCAACAAAACCAAGCUUUUUCCUCCUUUCUGUUUCUUUCUUUCUUCUCCUUCUAGGGUUUAGAUGUUCUGGAAAUUGGGGUUAAAGGUUGUAAAUUUAGUGCUCAAGAAGUUUGGAGAAGAAAGAAAAGAAAACAUGCAAAGGAAAAUGAAGAAAACUUGGUUUCAUGGUGGACAGAGAGAAAAUGGCAUGGAAGCUUCAAGAAUGGUGUGGAGCAUGGACGAGAAAAGGAAAAAAUAUCUUGCUGGAGGAGAUAAGAACGGUUUUGGGCUGAAAAAAAUUAGAGUCAAAGCUUUCUUUGGAAGCUUUGACCAAAUUUCACGAAAAUAACUGUUUUGCACUUUUUGUUUCUUUCCAUUUUAAUUUAGUCCUUCCAACACUCAUUUAAUUCAAACUUCCUUCUAUUAUCUUCUUCUACACAUGUACAAACAAAGUAUGAAGAUUGUACUCCAACGCAGUGUCCCCGUAAUAUUUAAAAUAUUUAUUUACCCGUGAUAUCUUUACUUAAUGAAGACACGCGACCCCAUUAACAUCAUUUUUUUCUCUAAAAUUUUCUCAUUCUUCUUCUCCCCUAGUUAGAUUGACCAUAUACUCCUCAUUCAUGGAAAAUUCUGACACUGAAUAAAAUAAUAAUAUUUUAAUAUUAUUUUAUUCCAAAAAUUUCCUCUUGUCUCUGUUUGUCUCCUUAGUACCCAAAAUACCUUAUUAUGCCUCAAUUCACUUCCGAAUCACUUUUUAUCUCGUAAAUUUUUUCUCGAUAAAAUAUUAUUAUUUUAUUAUUAUGUUCUCGCGUGCGAAAUAUUUUAUCCCAACUGUUCCUUUCAUCUUUCAUCACUUUUAAAUAUUAUAAUUAACCUCAAUUGACAUCCAAUAAGCAUUAUUAGUCAUCGCAUCAAGUACAAGGUAUUACAACCUUCAACCAUCCUUUGUACUAUUCUCUUAUAAUGAUAUAACGUCAUUCUCCCUUAAUCAAUUCAUAACUUGUACUUGAAAUUGCAAGAGUGGAAACAAGGUUCUUCUCAAGUACUUCUUAAUAUCAAUGUGAGUACCACUUUAUGCUUACGGCUUCCCUUUUGUAACCACAUAACUUAAUGGUUGUUUCCACAAGAUUCAUAGCAGGAUUACUCUUGAGUAUUUCCUUAUAGAUGCCUACCUUUAACUUAUGUCUCACCGCAUAUGAUCACAUAACUCGUGGUUUAGCCAUUAGACUCCUUAGCAAGUUUCCAAAUCACACAUAUUAUACUAUAGCUUAUGAUUGGUAAUUCUUUCUCAAGGAUGUUCAUGCAUCCCUGAAACACUUAAUCACUUAUUUGCUCUUUAACAUUCCGAGCGUAUCAUUCCAAAAAAGGCAUGCACUUAUUCACCAAGAUAUUUAAAUGCAUGCUCAGCUAUUCACACAUUAAUUUAUCCCCAAGGGUUUCUAGCAUGCCACGUAAUCGGCCUUGUGUUGUUACUAAUUCUUUUCAUUCAACUAAGUUAAGACAGGAAUUGCAAAUUCUCAUAGCAAUAUUCUAUAUAAACUCAUUUGCUAUACCAUUCUUGUAAUCCUUCAUUCACACUUUCAUCACUUAGUAUUGACAUCCCUUAUCAAUAUCUCAUACAUUCAUCUAACUUUUCAUUCACUUUUUCCUUAGCCUUUAACAAGGCUUAAUCUUUUAUCCUCUUUAUUUCUUAGGGUUUGACUUUAGUUUGUGUAAUGUUUAUCUUAAUACUUCACACAAUAAUUCAUCUCAAGAACUCUCUAACUCCACUUUCUAUCACCUACCAAUAUAUAGGGCAAUAAAGAAACUUUUCAAAUCACUCAUCAUCUUUAUCUUAAUAUUUUCCCAACACACUUAAAACUCUAAAUAACAAAAGUUAGCAUCAAGGCCAAUGACCAUAAUUCAACUUGUGAGUUUCAUCUUUAUGCCACUCACAAUUUGCUCAUGCUUUCUAGCCAUUAGGGGUUCUUAGAGUAGCAACAUUGGGUAGUCGGUGCUGCGGUGUUACAACUGCUAGAAUUUACUUUAUCAAAGCAAUUCUUCUUCUUUUAAGGCUACUAUACUAAUCAUUCUCAACCGCAUGGCUUUCCUUUAAGCCUAUACCACAAUUUCCAUAAGUAUGUGUAUCUUCUCUUUGCUUAUCAUAUGCACUAGGCCAAAUUAAUACUUUCAACUCAUAUCAUCUUUUAACUUUUAUCAUCAAUCAUGAAAUCCCACCUUAAGGCAUCUUUUCCAUAUGGUGUAAUGAAUUCACAAUACAUAUAUCACCCCACACAUAAUUACUCACUAUUUAUGGCAUUCCACAAAUUUGUUAUUAUCCAUAACUAAUUGUCUUUCUUGUCUUGUAACUCCAAUAGUUUAUUGACUUCUUGUAGAAAUGACCAUGAAAAUAGUUCAUCUUUUUCCUCACUUUAUCCUCACAAUCCUUAUUAAAUCAAGAAUUCAUCUUUCCCAAGUUCCAUAAUUUAACUCCAUUGGCCUAUAUUCGUGCCCAAUUAUUACCUCAUAAUGUCAUGGCAUCAUUUUGUAAUCCCUUCCAUGCUUAAAUUACAAUCCUCGACUUAAUCACAUCAUCCCUUCUAAGUGUCACCUUUUACCCUCAUUGAUUUCUCCCAAUCCUUCUAAAUUGUUAUUACAAUUGGGAUUUCAAUUUCCACCUUUCCAUGAUUAAUUGGUAAUCAUUUAUCAGGUCUUGUAGUUGUUUAUACCAUUAAUGACUUUCUACGUCGAUCCUUAAUAAUUAUCUAGGGCGACCAACCAUGCCACUAAGGUGAAUAUCCUUCCUCAAUAAUUAUAUUGCUAGUCUACCUCUGUCAUGCCAAAAGAUUCCCAUACACAUCCAGUCAUUUAAAUAGCUACUUUAUAAUCCAUUUGAGUCAUACAAAAUAAAAGCCAACUCUUAACUCCUUUUGUAUAGAUAACUACUACUAUUUCCUUUACACCGCAUAUGUCUAGACUUAAAGUGAUACGAACUUCAACGAAAAUAUUAAGUGUGUUUAAGAUCCGCUUCGCCUUGAUCCAAGCACAUGGACGAAUUCUUUUCCGGGUCCUCCUCUUCCUCUUGAGAUUUUUUCAUUUUAUCCUUAAUCCAAGCUUGUUGUAUUCUCAUGCAUUCCUCGUUACUCACAGGCGCAGCACCUUUGCCACAACCUUGAGUAAAGUCUCAAACAAUAGAUACAGAUACUUUCCUAGGACGAAAAUUACUAACAGUCUCUUUUUCCAUCUUGUUUGUGUUCUUUUUCCUCAGAUCGAUUUCAUUACGCACCAUUCUUGCGAGGCUCCUCCAGCUCUUAAAUAGUAUUCUACCUCUCGAAGGAACCGAUCCACUAGAAAAUCGGGUCGGGUUACUUGUUACACUUCCACCCUCGGGCACAUAUCGACUCUGAGUAGUGGAAUCUAGCAAUCCUUAGCUAGUACUGUGAGGGGCGUCAGGACUACUGUCUCUUCUAGACAUGGCAUGUGCAAUAGAGACACCUUUAAACUUAUACGUUACCAAGCAUUAAUUACUUAUCCAUUUAUACAUCAUAAGAGCAAGUAGGUUUCUAAUGAAGUAAAGGCCCAUGUAGCCUUCAGUCCUUGACUUGCAUUGGGUACCCACAAUCCAAGGACAAGACUCUACACGGACUCCAAUAACUCCGCUGAUAAACACAAAUAUUCCUAGAACUCAAUUAAACCUAGAGCUUUGAUACCAAGUUUGUCACAGCCCAAAUCCUGGGCCAUGACCGGUGCAAGGGCUCAAUAGGCACAGCUCAUUAGGCCCAAGAAAUCCUUUCUAUAUGAACCUGUACUGUGAGACCUUUACCUUUAUAGACUUGUAAAAGGAAGUAUACACGAUAUCCCUAAUCAGGGAUAAUUUCGUCAUUUCCUCAGUAAGCCCAUAAAAGUAAGAUUUUUAAACAAUAUUAUGGCCUAAGUAGGCCUAAGGCAUAAAUGGAUGGUGAAAUUAGGGGUAAAAUGGAAAGGAAACCAAAAUUUUGAUGAUUUUUACAAUAAAGGCAAAAUGGUCAUUUUUCACCUCCGGUUAAAAUUUUAAGUUUUCAUGAACCCGAGUAUGUCUAGACCAUUAUGGACCUUGUCCCAGUGUUAAAGGAGUAAAAAGAUUACACAAAGGGUUACAUGAGUACAAGCUAACUAGUCAAGGCCAUUUUCGUAAUUUUAAGAGAAUGGAUAAGUUUGGCCUAUAAAUACUUUCUUCUAGCAGCUUCUUCUCCCAUUUUCCAGCAGCUUGUCUUCUUCUUCUUCUUCUCUUUCACGUUGCUUCCAACCUCCGUGGAAGGUUGAUAUGGAGCUUGCAUGAUUUUCUCUCUCUAGCUCUAAUUUUCAUACCUUUGAGCCUUAUGACUAGAACCUUUGAAUUCUUCCACUCUCUCUCCUUAAAACCCCUGAAAAAAUUCUUAUUUCCAUACUUUCGCUCACUAGUUGGGCGUUCUAGAGAGAGAAAAAGAGAAUUACCCCAUUUGUGUGGAAGCUAUUGAAAGAGAAUUCAACUACAAAGGAGUCCUCGGGUAAGUGAUGACUUAAGCUUGGUUUUUAGCUGUGAAUAAUGGCUAGUAAUUGAGAGUAUGAGCUAUUUUAUUGUUGAGUAUGUUCAUUAGUUUUUAGUGAUUAAGAUAGUGAACAUAGAUAGCCAUUUAAUGUGGCAAUUGAAAGCUAGCUAAGAGAUAACUUUUAGGGUUCAUAGUGUGUGAAUUGACCUAAUGCUUAUGCUAAUGUGAACCUAGGUUCUAAUGAAGUCCCAUCCUUCCAAUUGGAUCAUUAAAGGAAAUAAAGUCAGCUAAAGGCUCAAUAAUAAAUCAGUGAGUGGACUGCCUAUCAAAACUAUUUUGGGAAUGUAACUGUUUUGUGCAAAGUGUUUGAAUGAUUUUAUACAACCUUUCUUAAAAAUGAGUGCCUUGGGAACAAGCUCUUGAGAAAUGGUUUAUGUUGAGACAUGUGACUAUUAUUGAUUCAUGCACUACCAAAUUGUGUUGAUAUAUAUAUAUAUAUGAAUAUAUUGUUGUGUAAUGACAUUGACUCGGUUAUGUGUGAGUAGGGAGUGCGCAUAAGCCGAGGAUGACCCGGUUAUGUGUGAGUAGGGAGUGCGCAUAACCCGGUGAUGACCCAGCCAUGUGCAAGUAGGGAGUGCGCAUGAGCUAGUGAUGAUGAUGAUGGGAUGGUGUGCAUGAUGGUGAUGGGUAUAUGUAUACAUAUGUAAACAUAUGUGUUAUAAGAAAUUUAUGAGUUAUGUAUAUGGAUGUAAUGUAUGUGAAAUUCGAUAUGUUAAACUUUGGGAAGUUGUUAUGUAUUUCUUAUUGGUUUUGAACAUUUCAAGCAGGGUGGUUUUCUUUUAGAGAAAGGGAAAUUUUCAUUUGGUGCCCUGUAUCUCGCUGCAGCGAGAAACUCUCAGGUUUGAGAACCUUCACCAGAACUAGUUCUCGCUGCAGCGAGAUAGUCACUGUAGCUUCUCACUGCAGCGAGAAACUCUCUAUUUCAUUAGCUGAAUUUCGCUGCAGCGAGAAACCUUCUGUUUUUGUCUUCUAUCUUAUCCAAUUACUGCCCUAUUUUUCAUUGCUUUGCUACCAUAUCGGAGCAUGAACUUCCAACAUUAAGGACUAAAUUAGUUAAGUUUAAAAUGAGGAGGUUUAGUGAGAAACUCUCAUCUAGUUGAGAAACCCUCGUUCGGCUAAUAACCAAAUCCCAAUGUCGCUGCAGUCAAAAGGCAUUCUCACUGCAGCGAAGAUUCGUUAUCGUAUUUGACUUGCUUACGUAUCAUUGAAGCUUUCACUCUUCAAAUGGUUCAUUAUGUAUGGGUUCAUGAUUUUCAAAUGAUUAAUCAUUUAAGGGCUUGAUGAGGGGUUUUUAAUAUGAAUGGAACUAAAUUACAUUGUUUUGAAACAAGUGCAUCAUGAUUUUAAAUUCUCCCUUGUUGCUGCUUAUUCUCUUCCUUGUUCACUCACUGGGUUUAUACUCAUCGUUUUCAACUUCAUGUUUUCAGAUCACGAGGCAACCGGUAACUAGGACGAGGUGUCUUUGUAGACCUGUAUCCAUCUUUUGGUAGGUGUAUUGGCAUUCAGUUGCUGUACAUUCAUCCGAGUCCCUCCGCUGGAAGUCGAGUAUUAUUUUGUUGUGUAUAGCCGAACCUAAUGUAAAUUGUUAAGAUACAUGUUGUAGACAAAUGUAUAUACACUUGUUUAGUAUGCCAGUAUGAGAUGGCAAUGUGUAGUAUUAUUUUGAUUCUAAGUUAUGAAAUGUGACUUAGUAGUUUAUGAUGGAAUGAUAAACAUGUCGGACUAAUAGGCUUGCUUGGGCUUAGUGGAUUAUGUCCAUUGGGCCCAUGCGCCAGUCAUGCCCCGAAAUAUGGGUCGUGACAUGUACAUUAGCCCAUCAAUUAUCCAUAUUUCUUUAAAAUCUAUAAUUCAUAAUAUUCAAAUAUAAUUUCUUUGAAACAAUUCAUAAAACCCAAGUAUUUACUCAUAAUGGCAUCAUCGAUCAUAAUAUACAUUGAUAGUCUGACAAAUGAAUCUUAGCAAUUCACAUUAAGUACACAUAUACACAUACAAUGACCUUGACCCUCAACAGAGUGACUCUGGGCAUGGGUGCUAACAUUUAGUGGCAUGGUGAACCUACUGAAAGAUGAAUAGGAGGGAGCACCUCAACCUAGGAUCCAACUACCUUUGAUCCUAAAACUCAAACAUGAAUUUGAAAAGAAUGAGUAUAAACUCAGUGAGUGAACAUAGAAAGGGAACAAGCAGCCAACACUGAAAGUUUUUGAAAACAUGAUGCACUUGUUUUGAAAACAAUGCAAUUUUGUAUGCCAUACACAAAACUCGAUGCCAUGUUGUCUUUUAACUUUUUUAAAACAUUUAAGAAAAUCAACUUUCAACACUCAAUACAAACACAUAAUAUUUCCUUAACUUUUUCAUAGCAUAUAUAAACAUUUCUAUAGCAUAUAUAAACAUCUCUAUAGUGUAUAAAUAUAUAAACAUAUAUCCAACCACCAGUCAUUAGCUCUUGUGCACUCCUUACACGCACAAGGCAAUAUCAUCAUGUGUACUCACUCCCUACACGCACAUUUCAAUAUCAUCAUGUGCACUCCCUAUACGCACAUUUCAAUACCAUUACACGCACUCCUGCCCACAUCAUCUCCGGCAUCGUCAUGUGCACUCCCACACCGCACACGCAAAGUUAUAUUAACCAAUCAACAUUAAAUUUCAAAGAAUAACACACAUAUCAACACAUAACAAAAUCAUUGCAUAGUACUAUAUCUCACAUAAUUCAUUAUUUUACUGGUCAUAAACAUAGUUGCAUAAUCCAACACUAAAAAAAGAAUAACAUUAUUCAUUUUGCCAAUAAUUUAGGACAUCUCUAGAUUUCAAAUUCACACAUUACACAAAUCAAUUGGCAAAUCAACAUAACAUUCCAAGUACAUAACUCAGCACAUUAUUUAUUCAACCACGUAAAAGAAUUACUUGUGCAAAGCUUGUUCCCCGUGCAUAAUUUUAAAAGAAAUCAACCAAAGAUAUUCAAACACAUAUGCAUUUGUUCAAAGUAUUUUAAAUGCAAGUUCACUCACCUUAACGAUGCCACCUAACAAAAUCUUAAUCUAGGCAGUCCCGAAAUAUCGUUAAAACCUAUAUUUACCAAAAAGCCAGAACAACCUUGAUCAAGUCAUAAUUUGAAUUUAAUAAUUCUAAUAAAUAUACAUUAUACAAUCUACACUCUAACCCAACUUUUAACCUAGAAUUCUAGUUUAAUUCACAAACCCAUUAAACUAAUUGUUCAAGUUUGAAGUUUCUUUACCUUGGUUCUUGUGCUAGGAACGGCAUGAUUAGAGCAUCAACACAGCAGAAUAAAAAGGGUUGAAAUAAAAAUAAACCAUGCUUCCUACCUUUGGAUCACCUUGGUUGUUUAAUGCAAAGUUAUGUACCACACAAAAAAAAAAAAAAAGUACAUUUCCAAGUGAUAUCGUAAUCAAAUGGAUUCUUUUUGGUGACAAAACACGAACACCUUUGGUGUGAAAGAAUCCUAGCCACUCAAUCGCUUGGCCUCCAAUGAUGCACAAACGAUUGCAACGGAUCCUUCUCAAGAAGAGAGCUUUAUGCCAUGGGCUUGUGCUAGCAAGUGGACAACGAUUUGUCCUCUUUUCUUCUUUGAUUUCCAGCAAAGAAUCAAAGGAGAAGUUUUCAAAAGAAAAUAAAUGUCUCAAGAGUGGCAGCACUCAAGAGAAAAAUCCUUCUCCACAAAAAAAAAGUUGGCUAUAAUGUGAUAUUUAUAUCUACGUUUAACUUAUUAAAAUUUACGAAAUAAGUCCUUAAUAUUAUAACAAUUAUAAUAUUUAACUAAUACCUAAUUAAACUCUUUUAAUUAGGUCCUUAAUAGUUAAAACCUAGAAUUUGAUUUAAGUCUAACUUAAAUCAUCACACUCUCAAUUUAAUCAAAAUUGCAACCUCUAUGUGUGACCCAUUAGGUUCCUAACAUGUUGGCAAUGGAACUGAAUUAUAAUAUUAUUAAUUAAUUAAUUUAAAUGAAUCAUAUUCAAUUUUAAAUUAACUAAUUCAAUUCCAUAGACCAUGAUUGGCAUCUAACAAUGCAUCAUGGCCACCCAAUUGUUAGGAGAGUAAAAGGAUUCUUUGACAACCUUUCACUAUAUAGCUUUUUAGUGUAAUUCAUUCCCUCAUCAUAUAUCCUGAAGAUGAUAAAAGCUUGGUGCAGUGCUUACUCUUAUUGAUCUCCAUAUUUGUUCUUGCAGUUAGAUGAUUAGCUUUAUGGAGACUUAUGAAACUCAUUUCAUAAUUUCCUAAUCACCUUGGCCAAGGAUUUGAUUAAGCUAAUAACAACCAAGAACUAAUGAGAUAUUUCCCUUUGAAUCACUUGGGGUGAUGAUUCUUAUCUUGACCACUCAUCUGCCUUCACAUGCUUCAUGCUAUACCCAAAAGUGUCUUGUUUUGGCAUCUUUGGUUAGGCACUCAUAGAGAUGAAAUCAAAACAAAACACUCCACACAUAAGACAACCUGGUGUCUCAAGUCUAGGGAGUACUUACACAACUGACACAUGAGAAGUAUUGCAUAGACACUUGAGUGAAAUACCAAAUCCACUUCUCAUGACGGGUCAUGUUCAGUGAACUCGCUCUCCCACAGCAAGCACCCACAUGCUAGUUCCAAGUAUCUUUAUACUUCAACCUAUGAGAACAAUUGCUUACUUCACAAGUAAGGAACAUAACAUGUGCCAAUCUUUGAGCAUUAUUGAUGCCCUGUCUCAAUAAUACAAUGAUCAGGAAUUUUUAGGAACAAUACUUUAAUGCAUAAGGAUUUCAUAAUUGUAUCCCAAUACAAUUCUUUUGCAAGGCAUAUAUAGUUCCAUGGGCUUUAUCUACAUAAGUACAAAAAAAGUAAUUAAAUUACAAACUUAUGGAUAAAGAACUACCUCAAUGUUAUUAUGAAUAACAAAAUGUCAUACAUGAAUAUCUCAAAAUUGCAAUUCCCAUACAACCACAGAUUGACUUGUAGGGCUUAUACUAACAAUCUCCCACUAGCACUAAAGCCAAUCGCCUAUGUAUCUAAUACCAAUGUUCUCAACAUGACGAUUAUGCUUCUGCUGGGAUAGUGCUUUAGUGAGAGGAUCAGCAAUAUUAUUCUUAGUGGGUACACGCUUUAUGCAAAUGUCUCCUCUUCCAAUGAUCUCCCUGACCUUGAUCACAUGGUAACGUAGUAAUACAUUUUUGGAUUUCUGAUGAGACCUUGGUUCCUUUGCUUGUGCAAUAACUCCAUUGUUAUCACAAUACAAAGGUAUUGGAUCAACAAUGCUAGGAACUGCAUCUAGUUCAGUAAUGAACUUCUUAAUCCAAACUGCCUCUUUCCCUGCCUUAAACAUAGAGAUGUAUUCGAUCUCAGUUGUAGAAUUUACAGUCGUCUCUUGUUUGGAACUCUUCCAACUCACUACACCUCCAUUGAGUGUGAACACAUAUCCACUUUGCGACUUGCUAUCAUCUUUGUCAGUUUGAAAGCUUGCAUCCAUAUAACCUCUAACUUGGAGUUCACCUCCUCCAUAAACUAGAAAUACAUCGUUAGUUCUUCGUAAGUACUUCAGGAUGUUUUUCACAACUAUCUAGUGACUUUCACCAGGAUUAGCUUGGUAUCUACUCGUGACACUUAGAGCAUAAGAUACAUCUGGUCUAGUGCAAAGCAUCGCAUACAUGAUAAAUCUUAUUACUGAAGCAUACGGGAUCUUAUCCAUGCGAUCUUUCUCUUCUUGAUUCUUUGGACACAUGUCCUUAGAAAGAUAGAUGCCUUGCGACAUAGGCAAGUGUCCCUUCUUGGACUCCAUCAUGCUAAACCUCUUUAGCACCUUGUCUAUGUAUGUGGAUUGGGAAAGACCUAACAACCUUUUAGACCUAUCUCUAUAGAUCUUUAUUCCUAGAAUGUAAGUUGUUUUUCCCAAAUCCUUCAUAGAGAAUUGUUUGGACAGCCAAAUCUUUAUAGAUUGCAGCAAUGGUAUAUCAUUUCCUAUGAGCAAUAUGUCAUCAACAUAUAACACUAGGAAAAAUAUGGCACUCCUACUAAACUUUUUAUAGACACAUGGUUCAUCCUCAUUUUUGAUGUAGUCAAACCCUUUUACAGCUUCAUCAAAAAGGAUGUUCCAACUCCGAGAAGCUUGUUUAAGUCCAUAUAUGGACUUUUGAAGCUUGCAUACCUUAUUAGCAUUAGCAUUGGUUAUAAAACCUUCAGGUUGUGUCAUGUACACUUCCUCUUGCAAGUUUCCAUUAAGGAAUGCAGUUUUUACAUCCAUUUGCCAUAUUUCAUAAUCAUGGUAUGCAGCAAUUGUAAGCAAAAUCCUAAUGGAUUUCAGCAUAGCAACUAGUGAAAAGGUUUCUUCAAAGUUAAUACCUUGUCUUUGUUUGUAACCUUUUGCUACCAGUCUAGCUUUAAGGGUUUGCACCUUGCCAUCUACAUCGGUCUUUUUCUUAAAGACCCACUUGCACCCAAUGGGUUUUAUCCCUUCAAGUGGAUCCACCAAAGUCCAUACUUGGUUGGUAUCCAUGGCAUCCAUUUUAGAUUUCAUGGCUUCUAACCAUUUCUCAGAAUCGAUGUCCAACAUCGCCUCCUCAUAGGUUGUAGGCUCAUCAUUUAUGGGCAAUGCGUCCCUUUCCAAGAGAAAUCCAUAUCUCUUUGGAGCUUGACGUAUUCUACUAGACCUUCUGAGUGGUUGUGCCUCUUGAGAUUGUGGUUGUAUAUCAGAUGUCAUAAUCUCAAGUUCAAGUUCCAAUGGAAUGUCAAUUUGUGGGUCUCGAACUUCUUCGAGUACAACUUUACUCCCACUAGCCCUUUCAUUUAAGAACUCUUUUUCAAGGAAAGUGGCAUGCCUUGAGACAAACACCUUUUGCUCAAUGGGAUUAUAAAAAUAAUAUCCGUGUGUUUCUUUAGGAUAUCCCAAAAAUUUACAUUUGUCUGAUCUUGCUUCUAGCUUAUCAGACAUUGUACGUUUCACAUAAGUAGUACAUCCCUAAAUCCUAGCAUAAGACAAGUUGGGCUUUUUCCCACUCCAUAUCUCAUAUGUUGUCUUAUCAACUGAUUUGAUAGGAACCUGGUUCAGUAUGCGAGGAGCAGUUUCUAGAGCAUAUCCCUAGAAAGAUAUAGGAAGAUCUACACGACUCAUCAUGGAUCGAACCAUGUCCAAUAAUGUUCGAUUCCUUUUCUCAAAUACCUCAUUGUGCUGUGGAGUCCCUAGAGGAGUCCAUUGUUCGAUUAUCCCAUUCUCUUUCAGAUAAUCUUGAAACUCUUGGCUAAGAUAUUCUCCUCCUCGAUCAAAUCUAAGAGUGAGAAUCCUCUUCCCAAUUUGUUUCUCAAGCUCUGCUCUGUAUUCUUUGAACUUGUCAAAGGAUUCAAAUUUAUAUUUCAUCAAAUAUACAUAACCAUAGCGAGAAUGGUCAUCUGUGAAGGUGAUGAAGUAGGAGUAUCCUCCUCUAGCACUAGUAUUCGUUGGACCACAUAUAUUUGAAUGUAAAAGUCCUAGUAACACCCCAGCUCGUUCACUCUUUUUAGUGAAAGGCGACUUAGUCAUCUUACCAAGGAGACAACACCCACAUGUUCCAUAUGAUUCAUAAUUAAAUGGAUCAAUGUAACCUUGUUUGUGUAACUUGGUUAAGCGAGUCUCAUUGAUGUGUCCAAGCCUACAGUGCCAAAUGUAGGAUAGUUUUGGAUCAUCUUUUUUUUCUUUCUUAACCUUUAUAUUAAGUACGGGUCUCUUAGGAUCAAGAAAAUAGAGACCGUUCGAAUGCGUCCCUAUACCAUAAUGCAUCUCUCCCUUUGAGAAAGAACAACAGUUGCCCUUAAUGCAAAAUUCCAUAUUAUCAUAUAAUGCCAAGUAUGGCACAGAUAUGAUAUUUCGAGAUAUGGAAGGAACAUCGUAACAGUCUCUUAAUUCCAAGAUCAACCCAGAAGGUAAAGGUAUGGUAACUGUCCCUAUAGCCAAUGCAGCAACCUUUGCUCCAUUACCUACUCUUAGGACCACCUCUGUCACAACUCGAAACCUCCCUCGGGCCCAUGACAAUCGUUGCAAUGUCUCGAUUGACACUCAUUACCCGGAAUGCCAAUCGAAACCCCGCAAGGCUUACAUAUCAGUUUUAAACAAUUUUCAGUCUUUUUAGGCUCAAGUAAAUCAAAAACAAAAAUAUAGCAUUUUUAUAUAAAACAAUAUUUAUAGAAACACGUGUAAGUAAUCUUUGUAACUUAUAAGUAAAAUAAAUUCAUACAUACAAUAAUUUACAAAGUUAUAAUGUACAAUAAUAAUUACAAUGAUAAGUGGCCCAUAAAUACACUAAGCGUUGGUGAUAGUAACCUACUGUCUGUGAGAUAGAGGGGUCAACUGGAAUCCUUGACAAAAUCGAGCAUCUACAAGCUACCACAAGCCUAAAAUAUUUGGAAAGGAAGUGGGUGAGAUUUUGCAAUCCCAAUGAAUAAACAGACAUUAUCAUAAAUAUCUAAAGGCGAGUAACAUGGAGGCAAGCUUAAACAACAAAUUACAAACCAUUUCAUAAGGUUUUCAAUUUAUUUCUUAAACCAUAAAAUAUUUGUAAUUUACCAAAACAGUUGUUAAGGCUUCUAACUUUUAUUAAAAACAAGGCUCAAGCCAAAACUAAUCCUUGGGGAUACCUUGGUUGCGGCAUUUAACCGAGUCCGCCAAGGUUUUUAAGAUAUUUACAAGUGGAACACAUUUUUAUUUUUAAAACAAGCCGUUCCUUACCGUUGGCCGAGUUACACAUACACGUGGGGGUUCGACGUGAAGUGAGCUCUAAUACUACCCCGGGAGUUACCCUCCUCGCCUCUACUAUCGAAGUAACUAUAUAACCGGGUUUACCGUGCCCCUCUAAUAGGCAGUCCACGGAAACCUGUCACUGCAGUGACUAAACCCACCAAUUUUAAUAAAAUUUCGACAGUAUAACGUGGCUUUUAUUUAUUUACCCAGCCUGCAUAGUAAAAGAUAGCUUACAUAAAUUCCCAAUGAAAUUAUAAAAUAUAGCCACAUAUACUCAUAUAUCAUAAGCCAUUCAUAGGAAAAUAUAUUUUUCAAGACAAUUGGCAGCCUCCAGUUACUCAAUUUUAUAAUCAAAAGUUUCUUAUUUCAAAAAAUCAAGACAAUAUAUUUAUUUGUCACAUUUAUUUCUAAAGCAUCAAAAAUCCCAUUUUAAUCUUAUUUUCGUUUCAUAAAAUCAAUGAAGAGCAUUUAAAAAUAAACUCUAGAUAAUUUACAAUAAUAAUAGGUUUACUCACCGUUUGUACAAACUAAUUGCUUUUUUUUAGGUGCCUCGAUCAUUGUUCGUCGGGUAUGACUUCCUUGCCUUUACCAGAAGGCUCUCCUCCUAAACACAUUGCAAAAUUUACCCAAUUCACCACAUUGAUGCUAAAUCACUAUAUAAUUGACUUAAAUCCUAUACUAAUGCAUGGUAUGAAAUGCAAUAGCCUAAAACGGCUUAAACGAGGUAUUAACCUAUUUUUGGCACUUUACUUGUUAAAUUGUUAACGCGCUCCAUUUUAGCUCUAAAUUGUCCCAUUUUCUCUCCAACAUUUCUAACCAUUAAAUAUCAGCCAAUAACUCACUAAAAUCACCAAAAUCAGCUCACUUUCCUCCUUGGAAAAUUCGGCCAAAAAUGGGACAUUAAUUCGGUAAAUCUUCCACUUUGUUUUUCUAUCACAUUUAACCAUUUUUCAUCAUUUUCUCUUCAUUUCUCUUAGAAUAAAAAUCAGUUCAUCAUCAUUGUACAUCAUUGAACAUUCAGCCAAGGGUGGGUAUUGUGAAAAUUUCAUGCUUUCUUGCCCAAUUUGAUUUCUAUACACAUUUAACUAACUAAAACUAUCAAUUUAACUAAAAAUCAAAACAUAAAAAUUUCAAAUUCCUCCCCCUUGAAUUUCGUCCAGCCCUUGAUAUCACUUUUUGAUCUCUCUCCUCAAGCAUGCUAAAUGGAAACAAAGGCAUAAGAAAGGUAGAAAUCAAGCUAAAGUCGAAAAAUCUUACCGUUAGACACGUAAACGGACGAAAAACGCGAUUUCCCCUUUUGUAAUUUUUUUAGUUUUUCCUUUGGUUUUUCCCUUUUCUUCCUUUCCUCUCUAUUUUCUAUCUUGUUCUCUCCUUAUGGCCGGCCAUCACUUAAUAUGGGGUUUAAAUGGGCUGACUUUUCAUUAAAAUAAUAUUAAAUCAUUACAAAGUGCCAUGUGUCACUUUCCCGUUGGCCCGUUUUUAAAAUUUCGUCCUUUAAACUUCAAUUUUUCACCACUUAAAAUACCAUAGUUAUACCAAAAAUAAAUAAAUCCUACGAUUUUGACAAGUUUUGGGUGGUAAAAGUUACAGUUUUUACCCCGAGACGACAAAAUUACGGUUUUGCCCCUAUGUUUCGAAAAUUGCCGAAAUUGAAAAUUUUCACUUCCUAUCAUUAAAUUAUACUCUAAAUAGUUAAUCUUGAGCAAAAAUUUCACUCCAUGAUCAAAUUAUUAUCUUAGGUGGCAAAAUGACGAUUUUGCCCCUAAACAUCAAAAUUUUCAAUUUUUCCCCAAAUGAACCCUCAAACUCCAAACAAUCAUUUUUAGUAAUUCCAGGAUUGUAAAAUAUUAAAUUUCAUCCUAGAUUCUUAUUUGAACUAGUUCGAGGUUAAAUCAACUCAAGUAUACUGUUAGGUACAAUACCGAGUUUCGUCUAUUCUUAGGUGCUUUCCUAGCGUAAUAACAUGCUACUCAAUGCAUGUAUAUCAUGACAUGUGUUUAUAGGGUCUGGUUUUACAACCUCUCCCUUUGUUAAUCUUCUACUCGUUUCCAGCACCUUCAUGUCAUUACAUUAGUGUGACCCACAUCUAGUAUCCAAUACCCAUGAUGAUUGAUUAAUAGUCGACAGAUUUACUUCAAUCAUAUACAUGGUCAAAGAUGAAACUUCUACAAGUUUCUCAUUCUUUGACCUUGUCAAGAAGGCAAGGAUAUCUUCCUUAAUGACAUCUAUUCUAAAUAGAUAUUUGAGAACAUUUCUCAACUUGAUAUACCAGUCCAAACAUUUUGGCUCAAAUUUCAUGAUGACAUCAAGUAUGCUAUGCAAAGUAAUAUGUAUUCGCAUUCUAACAACCUAGACAUUUAAAAAACAUUUAUGAGUAAUCAUGUAUUAUAAUAAAUUAAGAUGAGAUAGUAAAUCUUAAAUUGAUUGCUCCCACUAUUUUCUUCAAGAUGAUAACCCUCCAUAUCACCUAGAGAGAUCUCUACUAGGAUUCUCUUAGUGGGCUAGAAUCCCAUCCAUCUAGUCAUGGCCUUGAGUGUGCUCAACAAGCCAUGAUAGCUAGAUUAGGUAGGUAACUAAGCUUACCAAUUGUAUCUCUAUACAACUCCUAGAUCAGCUAGGUGACAACACAUUGCCUAAACAUAUCAUAUAUGUUUCGCCUAGCCAUUGCCUCUAGUUUCCAUAAUAAUCAAGUUUCCAAGCAUCCGAAUUUUAUGAAACUCGUUGAGUAAGACCCACCAAUAGCUCAAACAUACUCGUAUAAAAGUGUGACCUUGAGUGUGCUCAAUAAGUCUCCAAUUAAAAGAGCAGCCAGGUUAUCUUGCUAUAUGGUGGAAGGCAACUUAAUCAUGUGUGGCAUGUGACUCAAUAUUUACCGAGGGAUUUUAUUUUUUAUUUUUAUUUUUUUAACUUAGUUAAGGUCUCAUCUUUGCAUGCAUAGCAUUUAUUAAUUGCAUAAAUAAAUCUAUCUCAUGCAUACUACUUUGGAUAAUUAUGGACUUUAUCUAUAUUAAUUUUCUUGAGCCAUCGAAGGAAAUUAGCUUGGUCAAAUGGAUAACAUACAACAUGUUGUAAUCUUCCUCCUUGUAUCUUCAUGGCGCCUUUAGGUCUUCAUCUUCGAAUUGUAAAAUAACUCCUAUACUAAUCCUAGUUUUACACUUAUAUGUAACUAAUUACAUUUUAGUAAAGAAACCUCGUGGUACAUCCGAGGGGAGUUAGGUGAGGAAAGAAUUUAACAAUCCCUGAAAAUCAAGAGAAAGGCAGGGUGCGCAGACCCCAUUUAAUAAAUAAAUAGCAUGAUACAAUUUAACCAUACAUCCAUAAUCAUAUUGGGCCUAGUCCAUAAUCAUCCACAUACAUCCAUCAACAUGAACAUAAAAUUAAAACUAUGUCUUAUUCUAAUUGUUAAUCAUAUGAGGCAUCCAAAAUUAGUGUACAACUAAUUUCGAGUUCAUUUUUAAUUCCGUGAAUGGAAAUAGUCUUCCAUGUAUGGAAAGUCUUUACUAAUCAGUAUUAGAAAUAUUAUCCAUUCCUAAUCUCAAUAGAUUAGAAUUAAAAUAUUAUUACAAAUUAAAACAUUUUUAAUUUGUAAUCUUUAAACGUUUUAAGUAACUUUUACUAAUCCUUUUAAAUUAAAGAUUAUGUGUCUUCAAUUAUCUAAUCUCAUUAGAUAAUUUAAAUAUAAUAUUUAAGACAACAUUAUCUUUAAUUAUAUUUAAGUGUCUUAUUCGAAUUUCACUUCUUAAAAGAAGGAAAUUAAUUCAUGAUAUUUAUCUUGUCCAUAUUUAUCACACUUCCAUAUUUGUAGGAAUCAAAUUCCUAAAUUUAUGGAUGUGAUUAAUUAAAUCCUGAUAUCCUUAUUUUAAGGAAUAAAAUUCCCUAAUUUAAAUAUAUCAAAAUUUAUCUUUCUAGAACUUUUCCAUAAGAUAUUGUUUAGUAAAUUAGAGUUUUUAAUUGCACCAAUUUAGGCUGCAAAUAUGGACACUAAAAUCCCAAAAACCAUGACUUUACAAAACUCUGGCAGCAGUGUACCAGUCACAGUUUUAUGGCUUGAUGCGGCAUAAAAUCAGGGAAUUUAAUUCCCAAAUUUUAACCAUGGUCAGCUAACAUAUGGAACCUUUCCAUAUUGAAAUUUCAUAAUUUUUGGACUUGAUUUAGCUGGUCAAAACCCCAAAAAAAUGCAGCCUAUGUAUCCUGUAUGCAGCUGCAGUUUUUGGGUUGCAUAUGUGGCAUUAUGAUGGCAUAAAUCAAGGGAUUAAAUCCCUUAAUUUUAGUAAUCUUCCAAGCCUCUUUUGAACAUAUUCAAACUUCAAAAUUUAUCCAAAAAGGUACAACAAUUGCACAAUUUUUGGACUCUUUGAAGAUGACUUUCUCAGCAAAAUCAUGACCUGAAACUACUGCUGGCAGCAAUGGUUUCAGCCAUGAUUUCACAGCCUUGCCUUCACCAUUUUCAGCUGGUAAUUAAUCAUAUUGAAAAAAUUUCAAUGUAGAUUACUUCCAAAUUUUUUCAGAAUUUUUGGAGGCUUUUAGACCCCUGUUAAAAACUGAAAAUCAAACCACAUGCAAAUCUGGACAGAAUUGAAUUCUAUCACCAAACCGCAUCUUGUUUCCCAUGAAUUCGAAUCCUUUUCUUCCUAAACUCUUUUGUGCAUCUCAUGCACAUAUUGUUCUGCAAAAUUGAGACACUUAAACAAGAUUAGUUGCUGAAACAAAUAAGUAUUAAAAAUCAAAACUCGAAUAUGUGAUAAACUACUUUAAAACAUAAUCGAAAUUUAACACUUACUUGCUCUCUUCCAAAUCCCUCACAUCCAAUUAGAAUUGAAAUUAACAAUAACAAGACAUACCUUUGCAUUAAAACUAACCAAGGGAGGCUCUGAUACCACUGCUAGGAAUGGCAUGAUUAGAGCAUCAAUGCAGCGGAAUAAAAAGGGUUGAAAUAAAAAUAAAACCAUGCCUCCUACCUUUGGAUCACCUUGGUUGUUUAAUGCAAAGUUAUGUACCACAUAAAAUCAAAAAAAGAAUGUACCUUUCCAAGUGAUAUCUUAAUUAAAUGAAUUCCUUUUGGUGACAAAACACGAACACCUUUGGUGUGAAAGAAUCCCAGCCACUCAAUCGCUUGGCUUCCAAUGAUGCACACACGAUUGCGAUGGAUCCUUCUCAAGGAGAGAGCUUUAUGCCACGGGCUUGUGCUAGCAACUGGACAACGAUUUGUCCUUUUUUCUUUUUUGAUUUCUAGCAAAGAAUCAAAGGGGAAGUUUUCAAAAGACAAUAAACAUCUCAAGAGUGGCAACACUCAAGAUAAAAAUCCUUCUGCACAAAAAAAAAAAGUGGCUAUAAUGUGAUAUUUAUAUCUAGGUUUAACUUAUUAAAAUUUGCAAAAUAAGUCCUUAAUGUUAUAACAAUUAUAAUAUUUAAUCAAUACCUAAUUAAACUCUUUUAAUUAAAUCCUUAAUAGUUAAAACCUAGAAUUUGAUUUAAGUCUAACUUAAAUAAUCACACUCUCAAUUUAAUCCAAAUUGCAACCUUUGUGUGUGACCCAUUAGGUUCCUAACAUGUUGGCAAUGGAAUUGAAUUAUAAUAUUAUUAAUUAAUUAAUUUAAAUAAGUCAUAUUCAAUUUUAAAUUAACUAAUUCAAUUCCAUAGACCAUGAUUGGUAUCUAGCAAUGCAUCGUGGCCACCCAAUUGUUAGGAGAGUCAAAGGAUUCUUUGACAACCUUUCAUUGUACAGUUUUUCAGUGUAAUUCAUUCCCUCAUCAUAUAUCCCGUAGAUGAUAAGAGCUUGGUGCAGUGCCUACUCUUAUUGAUCUCCAUAUUUGUUCUUGCAGUUAGAUCAUUAGCUUUAUGGAGACUUAUGAAACUCAUUUCAUAAUCUCCUAAUCACCUUGUCCAAGGAUUUGAUUAAGCUAAUAUCAACCAAGAACUAAUGAGAUAUUUCCCUUUGAAUCACUUAGGGUGAUGAUUCUUAUCUUGACCACUCAUUUUCCUUCACAUGCUUCAUGCUAUACCCAAAAGCAUCCUAUUUUAGCAUCUUUGGUUAGGCACCCAUAGGGAUGAAAUCAAAGCAUAGCACUCCACACAUAAAACGACCUGGUGUCUCAAGUCUAGGGAGCAUUUACACAACUGACACAUGAGAAGUAUUGCAUAGACACUUGAGUGAAAUAGCAAAUGCACUUCUCAUGGCAGGUCAUGUUUAGUGAACUCGCUCUCCCUUGGCAAGCACCCCCUUGGCAAGCACCCACAUGCUAGUUCCAAGUAUCUUUAUAUGUCAACCUAUGAGAAUGAUUACUUACUUCAUAAGUAAGGAACAUAACAUGUGCCAAUCUUUGAGCAUAAUUUGUCACAACCCGGUACUCCCUUCGAGCCCAUGACAACUGCCUCGAUGUCUCGAUAGACAUUCUUUACCCGGAACGUCAACCGAAACCUCACAAGGCUCUUGCAUCAAUUUUACGUUUCCCCUGUGAGCAAUAGUUACUAAAUAUCAUGUUUUAAGAGAAUAUAAACUAUUUUUAAAUAAAAAAUAAACAAAAGUAAUUUUUGCCACAAAGGGGUAUUUUGGUCAUUUUUACUCGAAAAAUUUGAAACCUAGUGAAAAUACAACAAAUGAUAGAAAAAUAUACAUUUCUUAUCUAAAAAUAAUUUUAGUAAUCUAAAUCAUCCAUUUAAAAUAAAAUUUUGGCUAAUCAAACUAAAUAAAAAUAUUAAAUAAAAUAUUCCAUUUUCUUAUAAAAUAAUAUUUAUAGAACUCUACGUAAAUAAUUUUUGUAACGUUAAAGAAAAAUAAAUUCAUACAUAUAGUGGCACACGUAGCCAGGUAUACAAAAUAUUCUACAGUGACAUGUGGGCCCCCAAAAUAAACAUAUAUGUACAAGACUAUAGACCUGCGAUUUCUAAGGGUGCAAACCCACAAGCAAACCCUCGACAUAAUCAGUGGUCUAAAGAUUGCCCUGAGCCUGAAAUGGGUGACAAGAAAGGGUGAGUUUUUAUAAACCCAGUGAGUAAGCAAAAUUCAUUUAUAACAUAUAAAGCCGAGUAAAUGGAGAUAGUUAAAUCAUCUCAUCAUAAUAUAGUUCUUAACAUUCAAAACUCAUUUCAAUUCCUAUAAAACAAUUACAUUUCAUCAAAAUAAUCAACAAGGCUUAUGAUUCUCUUAAAAACUUGACUUGUGCCAAAACUCAUACUCGGUGGCACGUUGGCCCAAGCAUCCAACCGAGUCUGGCAAGGAUAUUAAAACGACAUAUACCCAUAAAACAUGUUUUUACUUUUAAAAUAUAGCCAUUCCUUGGCGUUGGCUGAGUUUCAUCCUCACGUGGUGGUUUAGCGUGAAGUGAACUCUAAACUUACCUUAAGAGAUACCCUCCACGCCUCUCAUAGUAAGGUAAAAUAUAACGGGGUUUACCGUGCCCCUCUAAUAGGCUGGUCCACGGAAACUCGCCCACUGCAGUAAGCUAAAUACAUAACCCACCAAAUCAAUAAAAUUUCGANNNNNNNNNNNNAAUUUAUAUAAUUCACAAAACCACAAUCUCAGCCAUUCAUGCUACCACAAUUUCAUAAGCCAUCAAUUCAAAUCAUGUAUAUAUAUAUAUAUAUAAUACGAAUGUAUAGCCUCCACUUACUCUAUUUCGAAAAUCAACAUCUAGUUUCAGAAUAAUUUAUAAAUCUCAUUCAUUUAACCAACAUUUAAAAUGUAAAACAUAAUAAUUUGCAAAUUAAGUGCCUUAUUCUUUAAAAUCAUAAAACAAGUAUAACCCACUUUAGAUAGUUAAGAUGAACAUCUGAUUACUCACUAUAGCAGGAGUUUGGAGUGGUAAGAGUACUCCUAUUCUCGAUCCUCUGCCAUGAUAUCUUUGCCCUUAUCGGAGGGUUCAGCACUUACCCAUAAUACACGAUACGUAAUUGAAUACAAUGGUGUGAAAUUGUUAUAAAACUACUUCAAACUCUAUAUGAAUGCAUGAAAUUGAAUGAGAAAUGUUCGGAUAGUCACUUAGAGAUGGUGUUCUACGUAGGUUCAAUUGUGAUCGGAAUGAAUUUGUAUUCGACCUAAUUCGAGCUAUACACCAUUGAUUUAACCAAAACAUCCGAUUCAACUCUAAAUAUAUUCAUUACACUCCCAAUAAUCUAAUACACCAAAGCAUUAAAAUGAACUUGAUUUUUGACUAACUUCACCAUUUUUUGAAAUUCAUUCCGAUUCCGAACUAACAUACUAAUCAAUGUCUACACAGUCUCGUAAAUCCAUAUAUAUAUCAUUAGGAAUCAAAUACAAGUCCAUUUACUAUGAUUGUCUCAUUUUCCAUCAAGCCAUUUUCUAAAGGAACUAUAUUUUUUAAUAAUCAGUUUCGAUAUCCAACACCAUAAUUCAUCAAUUCCUAUCUAAAUAACAUGAAAUACAACCAAAUCCAUCAUCAAUAUGCCCUAUAAAAAAUUCGGCCAAAUGAGGGUGGUUGAAGAACAUGUGAUUUUCUUGCUUGUUGUUCCUUCCAAACAUCACAAAAUGACAAAAACACUAGGAUAUUAUGAAAUCUAGCAAAAUUCAUUACCAAAACUUCUCUCUCUAGAUUUGGCCAGCAAAGGUUCCCUCUUAAAAACUUGAAUUUCAGCCAUGGAGAAUGAAAAAGAAUGCAUGGGAAAAGUAGAUCACAAGCUAAAAUUAAAAAAUCUUACCAUUACUUGCUUGAUUCCUUGAAAUCCAAUAAUUUCUCUUCAAUUUUUCCUUCCUAGGGUUUGUUUAAAGCUCGACACUUGUCACCUUUUAAUUGGUCCAUGUUUAAAAACUUAAGUAUUAAGCAUUUCAUUCCCACCACAUAUAAUCUCUCACUUAAAAAAAUAAUGGGUGAAAUUCAUGGGUUUGACAAGUGUCAUGGUGGUGUAAAAUUACAAAAUUUCCAAUUCUGUUCUCAUGGACACUUAAAAUGACCAUUUUGCCCCUAUGUUCGAAAAAUGUCAAAAUUGAAAUCUUUCACUUCUCAAAUUCAAAUAAUGCUCUAAUUAAUCAAAUUUAGUCAAAGUAUCAUCCAACAUUCCAAUUUUUUCCUUAGGUGGCAAAAUGACCAUUUUGACCUUACGUUAUGAAAAUUCUCAAAUUAACUCCAAAUCAAUCCUUGAAUUUUGAAUCAUCAUAUUCAGACAUUCUAAGAUUCAAUAACUCUCAAAUACAUCGUAAAAUCUUUAUUUGGCCUAGUUCGAAGCUUUAAUCAACUUAAUUGUACCACUAGGUUCAACACCGACUUUUAACGAUUUUUCAAUACAUUCAUUUAUGCAAACAUUCUAUCAAGCACAUGAAUGACAUGGAAAAUAUAUUAUAGAGUUGGGCUUGACAGCACUACCCCCUUUAAAAUAAAAUUUUGACCUCAAAAUUUCACUUAUCGGACUCGGAGAAAAUAUGUGGGUAUUGGUUUCUCAUUUGGUACUCAACUUCCCACGUCAUCUCCUCCAUCUGAGCAUUUUUCCACAACACCUUAACCAUUAGAAUGUUCUUAUUCCUCAACACUCGAUCCUUUCGGUCUAAAAUAUGUACAGGUUGCACCUCGAACUUUAAAUCUUCUUGCAACUCAAUCAAAGGUGCCUCGAGGAUAUGGGAAGCAUCAAGUACAUACUUCUUCAGCAUCGAGAUGUGGAAGACAUUGUGAAUCCGAUCCAACUCCGAGGGUAAUUCUAUUCUAUAUUGUCACUGGCCUAAUCUUUUCAAUGAUAAGAAAAGGGUCCAAUGUAUCUCAGAUUAAGCUUUCCUUUCUUUGCAAACCGAAUCACACCUUUCAUUAUUCAACAAGAUACCACAAUUUACCAUAAUAGUAAAAUCAAAUAAAACUUAAUAUCUGAAAGUAUUCAAAUCAUUACCUUUCCAAGGAGAAACCUUAAGAAAAACUCUAUCAUCAAUUUCAAAUUCUAGAUCUUUUCUCCGUCUAUCAGAGUAACUUUUCUGUUUUUCUUGAGCUAUCUUUAAUCGCUCUCGGAUAACUUUGAUCUUGUCAUUAGUCAGAUCAAUCAGUUCUACAUUAACAAUUUCCUCUCACCCACUUCAUCCCAACAGAGUGAAGUUCGACACUUUCUCCCAUACAUAGCCUCGUAUGAUGCCAUCCCAAUACUAGUGUCAAGCCCAGCUCUACAAUAUGUUUAUUAUGUCAUUCUUACAUAAGAAUGCAUGUUUGCUUACUUGGGUACCUUGAAAAUCGUUAAAGGACGGUAUUAUACCAAAUGGUACAAUUAAGUUGAAUUAAGCCUCGAACUGGUCCAAAUAGAGAUUUUAAGAUGGAAUUGAGAAUUUUAAAACUCCAGAAUGACUUAAAAUGGUGAUUUGGAGUUUGAGGACCGAUUUUGAGUCAAAUUGGAAUUUUCAUGACCUAGGGGCAAAAUGGUCAUUUUGCCACCCGAGGUUAAGAUGUGAGUGUUGGAUGAAAUUUUUGACUAAGAUUGAUCAUUUGGAACAUAAUUUGAGUUUGAGAAGUGAAAAAUUUUAAUUUCGACAUUUUUUCAAGCAUAGGGGUAAAAUAGUUAUUUUGUCACCCAAUGGCAAAAUUGUAAUUUUGCAUCACCCAACACUUGUCCAGCAUAUGGAUUUUACCCAAUAUUAUCAUGGAUAAUUGAGAAAAUUUAAGUGGUGGAGAGAGAUUGCUUAAUGGGUAAGUAUGACACAUGGACUAAUAGAAUGGUGACAUGUGUCAAAUUUUCAUCCAUUUAUUAUUUGGCUUAAAAAUCAACAUAAAAUCAGCCCAUUUCUCUUCAUAUGGCCGACCAAAGCAAUAACAAAGGAAGAAAAGAAAGAACAAGAACCCUAGGGUGAAAAUUGAAGAGAAAAUUGGUGGAUUUCAAGUAAUAAAGCAAUCAAAGGUAAAAUUUCUUGAUUUUGACUUGUGAUCUACCUUUCCCAUGCAUUCUUUUGCAUUUUUCAUGGUUGAAUCACAUGAUUUCAUGAUGGGCAUCUUGCUGGCUGAACACUUAGAGAGAGGUUUUGAUGCUUCAUUUGGUUAGAUUUCAAUGAAUUUUAGUGUUUUUAGUUAGUUAGUGAUGUGUAGCAUGAAAAUCAAGCAAGAAAAAUUCAUGUUCUUCCAUCACCCAUCAUGGCCAAAUUCUCCAUGUUGAAUAUUGAUGAUUAUUUUAAUUUUAUUUCAAGUGAUUUGGUUAGGAAUUAGUGAUUUAUGGUGUGAGAAUCAAGUAGGAAAAAUCAUAAUAUUGAUGCACCAACCAUGGCCGAAUUUUUCAAGAGAAAAUGUGGGGAUGAUUUUGCCAUAUUUCAAGUUAUUUACUUUGUGUUUGAUGAUUUGGAGAAUUGGAAGAAAAAUGGAGUUAAUUGGAGUUAAAUUGGACAUAUUGGGUAAUUAAUCGGUUGGUAGAUCGAAUUAGGCCAUUACCGUUUCAUUUAGGUACACAAUUGAAUUUGUGUGGAACACUGUGUUUAGAUGAUAAUCCAAACAAUUUGCAUUCCAUUUCAUGCAUUAGUAUAGAGCCUGAAUUGGUUUUAUAACAAUUUAGCACAAAUGUAGUAAAUGGUUUAUUGUGCCUUAUGUUUAGGUGGUGAGCAUUCUGGCAAAAGUAAAGAGAUAGUACCCGAAGACCAAGAAUCGGAGUACUCGGAAUUCGACUCCAGAAAUAGUGAGUAACCUUACUAUCGUCUUAAUUAUCUAAAGUGAUUUUUAUCUGAUUUUGUGCUUUUAUGGAAAAUGAGUUUAAAUGGUAAAUCUUUAUGUUUUAUAAACAAAAUGUGCUUAAAUGAAAUGAUUUUAUAAAUUGUCUUAAAAUUGAAUGAUGGCUUUGAAAAUAGAGUAAUUGGAGACCAUUUGAUGAAUUGUGAAUUUAUGGUUCUAACUGAUUGGCUUAUGGCAAUAUUGGCAUGAAUGGCUAAAUUGGUAUUUGUGUUGUAAAUGUAGAAACUGUUGUUUGCCUUGAUAGGCUGGAGAAUGAUAAAAUUGAUAUGUCAUGCUAUUAAAUUUUAUUGAAUUGGUGGGUUAUUGAUUAGUCGCUGCAAUGGAUGGGUUACGUGGACCAGCCUAUUAGAAGAGGUAAGGUAACCCUAUUAUAUUCUUACCUCGGUCGGAGAGGUGUGUAGGGUAACUCCCGAGGUACACUUUUAGAGUUAACUUCAUGCCAAACCACCACGUGAGGGUGAAUUCAGCCAACGCCAAGGAACAGUUGUGUUUUUCAAAAUAAAAAUAUGUUUAUGUGUAUACGAAAUUUUUAAUAGCCUUGGUGGACUCGGUUGGGAUAGUCCUCGACCAAGGUAUCCCUAAUAACUGAGUAUGAUAAUGAUUUUGGCACUAGCUAAAGCUUUUAAGAAAUUCAUAAGCCAUGUUGAUUACAUAAUUUAUAUGAAUUGAUUUUAUUUGGUUGAAAUGAGUUGAAAGGUGAUGAAUUACAAUAUGAUAAUCUAUUUUAAUCUAUCUCCAUUUACUUAGCUUUAGAUAUUUUAGAUGGCAUUUAUUUACUCACUGGGAUUAUAUAAUCUCACCACCCUCCUUUCCACCCAUUUCAGGCUAAGGAUAGUCGACUACAGUUGGACUUGCAUCCUCAAAACUGUAGGUUUAUCGCUUUUGAUACUUUUGGUCGUUUAUGGGCUUACAUGUCACUGUAAAUUAAAUCUUAUACUUUGGUUAUCUGUAUUACAGUAUGUAUAAAUUUAUUUAGCUUUCAUGCUACAAAAUUAUUUACCGGUAACUUUAUAAAUAUUGUUUAUUAAGAAAAAUAAGAAUAAUUUGUAUUGAAUAUUUUUAUUUAUAUUCNUAGUUUUUAAGGUAUUUUAGUGUUUUUAGUUGAUUAGUGAUGUGUAGCAUGAAAAGCCAACAAGAAAAAUUCAUUUUCUCCCAUCACCCAUCAUUGGCGGAAUUCUCCAUGUGGACUAUUGAUGAUGAUUUUGAUUUUAUUUCAAGUGAUUUGGUUAGGAAUUAGUGAUUUAUGGUGUGAGAAAUAAGUAGGAAAAAUCAUAGCAUUGAUGCACCCACCAUGGCCGAAUUUUCCAAGAGAAAAUGUGAGGAUGAUUUUGCCAUAUUUCAAGUUAUUUAAUUUGUGUUUAAUGAUUUGGAGAAUUGGUAGAAAAAUGGAAUUAUUUAGAGUUAAAUUGGACAUAUUGGCCAAUUAAUCGAGUGAUAAAUCAAAUUAGGCCAAUACCGUUUUAUUUAGGUACACAAUUGAAUUUGUGUAGAGCACCGUGUUUAGAUGAUAAUCCGAACAAUUUGCAUCCCAUUUCAUACAUUAGUAUAAAGCUUGAAUUGGUUUUAUAACAAUUUAGCAUAAAUGUAGUAAAUGGCUUAUUGUGCAUAUGUCUAGGUGGUGUGCAUUCUGGCAAAAGUAAAGAGAUAGUACCCGAGGAUCAAGAAUCGGAGUACAUGGAAUUCGACUCCCGAAAUAGUGAGUAACCUUACUAUCGUCUUAAUUAUCUAAAGUGGUUUUUAUCUGAUUUUGUGAUUUUAUGGAAAAUGAGUUUAAAUGGUAAAUCUUUAUGUUUUAUAAACAAAAUGUGUUUAAAUGAAAUGAUUUUAUAAAUUGUCUUAAAAUUGAAUGAUGGCUUUGAAAAUAGAGUAAUUGGAGACCAUUUGAUGUAUUGUGAAUUUAUGGUUCUAAUUGAUUGGCUUAUGGCAAUAUUGGCAUGAAUGGCUGAAUUGGUAUUUGUGUUGAAACGGUAUAUACUGUUGUUUACCUUGAUAGGCUGGAUAAUGAUAAAAUUGCCAUGUCAUGCUAUUAAAUUUUAUUGAAUUGGUGGGUUAUUGAUUAGUCGCUGCAGUGGACGGGUUCCGUGGACUAGCCUAUUAGAGCGGGCACGGUAACCCUAUUAUAUUCAUACCUCAGUAUGAGAGGCACGGAUGGAUAACUCCUGAGGUUAACACUUUAGAGUUCACUUCACGCCAAACCACCACGUGAGGGUGAACUCAGCCAA